UCUCCGGAGUCCCUUUUUUAAUUGCCCGUAUCAUUCGUUCUAAUUUCUCCUAUACCUUCCCUGUCUCUCCCGGCAAAAAGUUCGUCCGCCUUUACUUCUACCCGGCCUCCUACUCCAGCAACUUCAACGCAAAUGAAUCUUUCUUCGCUGUCAUGGCUAAUAACUACACCCUUCUGAGCAACUUUAGCGCAUUUUUAACAGUUUCCGCCGGGGGAUUCUCACCUGCCUACGUCGUUAAAGAAUUCAUCAUUAAUGUUGAGGCGAUGAAUCAAUUCCUCAACGUUACCUUUUUGCCCUCUACGCAGUCCUACGCGUUCAUUAAUGGAAUUGAAGUUGUUUCAACCCCGGACGGACUCUACAUGGGCAACCAUGAUUUGUCCAGUAAUCCCCUCAAAGACGUGGAUUAUUCCAACAUUCAGUUCGAGUUUGAUCAGAACGACACUGCCUUCGAAGCUCUUUACAGGCUUAACGUCGGAGGAAAUGAUGUUUCUGCGUUAGCUGAUAGUGGGAUGUUCCGAGGGUGGGUUCCCGAUGACAACUUCAUCUGGGGCGGAGAUCAAGGGAAUCCAUUGAGCAAUAAUCAAAUUGCUGUCAAGUACACUCAGCAAACCCCAAAUUACACUGCGCCAGCGAUAGUUUAUACUACCGCAAGGGCGAUGGGCAAGUUUAGCACCCGAUUCAACUUGAGCUGGACGUUCUCUGUUGAUUCUGGGUUUAAUUAUCUCCUGAGAUUGCAUUUUUGCGAGAUUACCCCUGAUUUGAUUUCACAAGAGAACCAACGGGUGUUCAGGAUAUUCAUCAGUAACAAAACAGCUGAGCUAGAGGCUGAUAUUAUAACUUGGACCGGCGGCACCGGAAUCCCGGUUUUCAGAGACUACGUCGUGUUCGUUCCACACCCACCGGAUGGUCGCCCGAGCAAGCAAGGCUUGUUUCUUGCUCUGAACCCAAAUCUCGACGUCAAGCCGAAGUAUGCUGAUGCAAUCUUGAAUGGUUUAGAAUUGUUCAAAUUGAACAACAGCGACGGCAGUCUUGCCGGGACCAAUCCUGAUCAGCCGCCGGAUCCCAAUUCCCCGAUGCCAAACAGCAAGUCACCGAAAAAGGGGAGAGCUGUAAAAUCUCGGGUACUUUUUCCUAUCGUGGGAGGGGUGGUCGGAGGGGCUGCCUUGGUUUUGGUCAUCGGUUUGAUUUCCCGGCGGCUAAGGAGACGGGUAAAAGAUUUUGACCAGAAAAGUGCUUCAAAGUCAUCCGGGGUCCAACUUUCAACCACGUCCAGGUCAUCAAAGGCAACAAGUGCAUCGAGGUCUUCGUCACUGCCGCUGGAUCUUUGCCGAAGAUUUUCCCUGGAGGAGAUUAUCUUUGCUACGGCCAACUUCGAUGCUAAGUUUGUGAUCGGAACCGGAGGAUUCGGAAACGUGUACAAAGGGUACAUCGACAAUAGUCUAACCACAGUUGCUAUUAAGCGAUUAAAUCCUUCGUCAAGUCAAGGGGUCCGCGAAUUUCGAACCGAGAUCGAGAUGCUGUCGAAUCUAAGGCAUCUUCAUCUGGUAUCCCUGAUAGGUUACUGUGAUGAGAAGGGAGAGAUGAUCUUGGUUUAUGAUUACAUGGCCAAUGGCACCCUCCGCGACCACCUCUACAAAACAGAUAAUCCACCCCUCCCGUGGAAGCAACGGCUUCAGAUUUGCCUCGGCGCAGCCAGAGGGUUGCAUUAUCUCCACACCGGCGCCAAGCACAGCAUCAUCCACCGGGACGUCAAGUCAACCAACAUAUUGCUGGACGAGAAAUGGGUGGCUAAGGUUUCGGAUUUCGGUCUGUCCAAGCUAGGCCCCAGCGGUGGAAUCCACAGCCAUGUCAGCACGCAGGUGAAGGGGAGUUUCGGCUACGUAGAUCCGGAGUAUUACAAGAGACAGCAGUUGACGGAGAAGUCGGACGUGUACUCGUUCGGGGUGGUUUUGCUCGAAGUGCUGUGUGGGCGGGGAGCCAUUAUUCCCAACUUGCCCAAGGAGCAGGUGAAUUUGGCGGAGUGGGGCAAGAGGUAUUACGCAAAAGGGAUCAUCCACCAAACUGUAGACCCUCACAUGAAGGGCGAGAUUGCUCCUGAGUGUUUGAGGAGCUUUGCUGAAACAGCGAUCAACUGUUUGAAAGAUCAGGGGAUUGAACGACCCGGAAUGAAUGAUGUAGUUUGGAGCCUCGAAUUCGCGUUGCAGCUUCAGGAGGCGGCUGAAAAUAAGAGCGGUCGACGUCCAUUUGCUUUCCGUAUGCAUGGGUUGGGAAGAGAUGAGCAAGCUACGACUGAGGAUGAUGAGGAUGUGUUCUCAGACUCGGGAGUUGAGAAAGAUUCUGCCGCCCUGAUGAAGAGCCGUAGUAUUACGACCGGGACAUUCACGGCCAGUAGUGACAUGUUAAAGUCUGAUAAUGUUUUCUCCGAGAUCAUGAAUCCCACCGGCAGGUGAGGAUUGUAAUCAACAGAUUAAACCUCCAAAAAUGGACGUGGGAUAUUCAUGUCUCGGGAGUCUAGCGUGCUUUGUCCUUGUGCUAUUUUUUUUUUUUUGUCUGUAUUGGGCAACCUAUUUGUAAUGCCAAGAUAGUAUAUUUUCGGAAAUGUAAUAUUAAUUAAGAAAAGUAAAUAAAUAUUGGGAGUGUUUUUGAAAAUGUAAAAUCAAUUUAAAAAAGUAAAUAAAUACGAUAGAAGGUUAGUAAGAUAGAUGGGAAAAGUAUUAAAAUGCAAGGGAAGGUGAUAAUUCAUGCCUUAGGAGUCCAGCGUGCUAUGUCCUUGUGCAUUUUUUUUUUUUUUUUGUAUUGUGCAACCAUUAAGAUAUAUUUGUGGUGUUAAAAUAUAUUUUUGAAAAUGUAAAAUUAAUUAAGGAAAGUAUAUAAAUAUGAGGGAGCAUUUUUGGAGAUGUAUGAUUAAUUAUGAAGAGUAAAUAAAUACAAGAAAUGAUUGGUAAGAUUAGAUGGGAAAAAUAUUAAAUGCAAGGGAAAGUAAUAACUAUUAGUAUGUGUAUACAUGAUAGGUUAGAUGAAUUUUAAAUAUCUUAAUAAAAUAAAAGUACCUAAUGGAUAUGGGUACCCAUUUAAAAAAACCCUUUCUUAAAUAUUUUUUCUUGCGAAGUCAAUAAGUAUAAUAUGGCGCGGUUUUCAAUAACCAAUAUGACUCUAGUCAAAGGUGCAACUUUUCAGACACGGUCCAUUCAACUGAUCAUCGAUGUAAAGAUAAUUCAAUUACUCAUUACUAUAUUGGUUAUAGUUGUCAUACACGCGAUAAACAACCAACCUUUCCUUACUUUUUUCGAUAGUCAAGGUACGACCGUUAACUAUUUCUCUAAUUAAGAAAUAACCUAGAUACGAUCAUAUGAUUUAAAUCCUCAAUUGCAUUAAAAAUUAGAAAAACUCAACCCUAACUAACAAACGCGCUACGAGAGUUUGUUUAACUUAGAUCAUACGCUUUCCUGACAUGAAACCAAUCACGCUAGUCGCCACUGGUAUUAAUCAAUAGAACAAUUACGGAUUCAAUCAAUUAAUAUGACAGUAGAUUAUUAGGUUAAUUCGAAUAUCGGACCUUUGACAUUCAAAUAACAAAACAAUCAUAAGGAAUUAAACCAGAAAACGUACAAAUACCAAUGAAUAAAAGAAAUAAGUAAAAUAAUUCGAUCUCACAGAUAUUUGGAACCGCGUCUUCAAAUUAACCCUUGAUUAAAAAAAGGAGUUCGUUCAUCUUCAUGGAGAAAAUCUCAUGCAAAAUUGCAGAAGUAAUUAUCGAAAACAAAGCUCUGUUCCAGUCGUUCUAAUAGAAGAGACGGAAAAUAAGAAAACAAAGAAACGGCAAAACGAAGCCAGCCCACUAGAAUGAAAAUUGUCCUAGUUAAAAACAAUGGAGUUUGUUUGGAUAAGAGUUUAUUUGGAUAAUUUAUUUGAAAUAAUUACUGUAGCAUUUUUUGUGAUGUGAUAUAUAUUAGAUAAAAAGGUGAUUAAAAUUUGUGAAGUAAAUUUUUUUAUUUGAAAUCAAAGCAAUCCAAACAAACUCUAUAAUGACUAACUCCUUUUCCCUAUGUGGUCCCUAUCGGAUAAGGAAAAAGCCAAACAAAAAGGUUCCAGCACUACCGAAGUUCCCUUGUAUUUCGUUUCCUAUUGCUAGUAGACUAACUAGUACAAGGCAACUCUUCAUCAGCAAAAGGGGAUGAAGUCCGUUUCUUAGCACCAUGUGGGCCCGAUUUGUGGAGCUUUUAGAAGCCUCCCACGUGUGGAGCCUUUUACCUCAAGAUGGUAUCUCUUUUUUGUACCUUUCUGCUCCACUUCCUGAAAUUGAGUCUAAAUACCAAAUAUAAAUAUAUGUUAAUAAUUAAAGCAAUAUUUGACAAGGACAAAGGGGGAAAUUAACAAUAAAAUUACUAACAAUUAACACCCUAUCAACAAGAAGGGGUGCGAAAGAGAGACUAGACAAAAUUUUAAGCAACAAGGAAUAGAGAGCAAAACAAAGGAAAGCUAAGUGUAACCAUAUCCAAAAUGAAGCCUUAGAUCAUUGUAUGUUAUCACUUGACACAAAACCAAGAGAAAGGGAAUGGCAGAAAAAGUUUUAUUUUGAUAGAAAGUGGCUUCAACAAAAGGAAGUUGAAGGUGUAAUCAAAAUAGUAUGGAACAAGUAGCAAUUGGGAUCUAGAUUCUUUAAACUCCAACAUAGAAUUAAAGAGUGCAGAAUUGACUUGCUUAAUUGGAAUAGGACAUUGAACAUGAUGCUAAAAAGGAGAUCUAGGAUUUAAAGUUGCAGAUUAAUGACAUGCAAAAUGGAAGGUUUCAAAAUAGGAAAGCAAAAAUUUUUGAGCUGAAAAGAAAAUUAAUAGAAGCAUUCAAAAAAGAAGAGAUGUUUUGGGAACAACAUGCAAGAAUUAAUUGGUUAAAAGAGGGGGAUAAAAAUACAAGCUACUUCCAUGCUGUAGUUUAAGGGAGAAGGAAAAGGAGUAAUAUUUCAACUCUCCAGAAGAAAGAUGGGAACUGAUGUGCUACUAAUAGCAAAAUUGAAGAGGAGAUUUCAAGUUAUUUCCAGAAGCUUCUCACUUCUAUCUAUCUAGGGCAAUUUGAUACAAUCUUACAAGGCAUUUCACCAUCAAUUACAAGUCAAAUGAACUCAAGGUUAACCAGACCUAUUUUUGAACUAGAGAUUAAAAAGGCAGUUUUCUCUUUACACCCUAAUAAGGCACUAGGGCCGGAUGGUAUGACUCCAAUCUUCUUUCAAAGGUUCUAGUAUAUUAUUAAGCAAGAUUUGAUUGCAGCUAUUAAUAGUUUCUUUCAUAGAGGUAAUCUCUAAAAAGUGUUCAUGAAAUAGCUAUUACUUUAAUUCCAAAGAUCCAGCCUCCCUUUUUGGUUUCACAAUUUAGACCAUAAGUCUCUGCAAUAUAGUGUACAUAAUCCUUUCUAAAAUCUUGUUAACAGAUUCAAACCUUUUUCUGAAACAUUGUACAAGUCUUAAUCAAUUUGCUUUUAUUCUAGGUAAACAAAUCAUUGACAAUGUAGUGAUUGCUCAUGAAUUUGUGCACUGUUUAAAUGGAAGAAGAACUGGAUCUUAUGCUUUCAUGGAUAUUAAACUAGACAUGUCUAAAGUUUAUAAUAGAGUUGAGUGGCUUUUUCUUGCCAAAAUUAUGAAAAAAAAUGGGCUUUGUCAAGUCUGGAUUCACUGGAUCAUGUCUUGUGUUACUUCUGUUAGUUAUAUUUUUAAUAUAAAUGGGGAGAAGAGAGGAUAUCUUAAGCCUAUUAGAGGAUUGAACAAGAGGAUUCUCUAUCCCCUUAUCUUUUUCUUUUAGUUUGUGAGGGCCUUUUUAGUCUAUUGAGAUCAUCCAAGAAUAACAAAAAAAAUUUCUAGAUUGAAAAUUGCUUCUGCUAGUCCUGCUUUGUCCCAUUUGUUUUUUUUUUUUUUUUUUUUUUUUUGCAGAUGAUACCAUAAUUUUCUGCAGAGCAACUAAAGAGGAGGCAAAAGAGGUGACACAGCUGCUUAAGGUGUAUGAAGAUGCUUUAGGUCAAAUCAUCAACACAGACAAAUUAUUUGUCCCUCUCAGUAGAAACACAAGGAAGACGGGAGAAAGAAAGUGCUGGAGACACUUGGGGCUAUGCAACAAGUCAAGCAAGGAAAGUAUUUUUAGGAGGCAAGUGUUCAACUAUAUUAAGGAUAAAGUUUUAAACAAACUGAAUGGCCAGAAAGAGAAAAUGCUUAGGGUCUGUUUAAUAACAUUAAAAAGUGCUGAAACUGAACUUUUUCAGACAUUCAGAUAUUUUGAAUGUUUGAUAAAUGAAAAUCCAUCUGCUGAACUUGUUAAGCAGUGCUGAAAUUGUGUGUAUUUUUUUCAGCACAAGAAUCCUAACUGAAUGCUUAAUUCUGAUAAGAAUUAAUAGAAUUAUUUCAACUACCUUAUCUUAUCUAUUAAAUCUACCAUUGUUUGUUAAUUAUAUUCAAAAUUCUUAUCUAAUUAAACAACCUAAUAUUUUCUAUCUAAGGGUUUUUUAUUUCUCUUUUCUCCCUUUUUAAUGAUUUUCACAUCUUCUCCAUACUCCUCAUAUAACAUAUUUCAUCUUUUAUAUUAAUUUGAUUUAAAAAUAAAUAUUUUCAUUUUUAUACCUAACAAUUUUAAGCUAAUUAAAUCAUAGGUUCUAUUUCUUUUUUGGAUGAAAAGAUAUAAGGGCAAAAUUAUCAAAUUUAACUUAUUAAGCAUUCAGUAAUAAAUGUUUUCAAACAGUAUAAAUAUGUUUAGUAUUAAAAUUCAGAUAUUUAUAUAUUUCUUUUUAGUACUUAAAAUUCAAUAAAUUAAUUAUUUCAGUAUUCAGAUUUUAGAAUUCAGACUUUAGAAUUUAAAUUCAGUUUUAUCAAACGGAACCUUACACAGGUAGGGAAGGAGCUCCUAAUGAAAUCAGUUAUUCUAGCCAUACCUACCUAUGCUAUGGCUUGUUGUAGACUUCCAAAAGGUCUAUGCAUCAAUGUUUUGAAAAUCGGACCAGAUCGGCCAGUUCGACCGGUUGAACCACGAACCGGCCAUGGCAACGGUCCGGUUCAAUGUCAUAGUUGACUUUGUCAGAAAAUCGGUCAAGAACCGGUCGAACCAUAAAAAUCGCGAUUGAACCGGUUUUCAACCUUCCUCUUAUUUUUUUUUAUUUUUUUUGUUGCAAAAUACAGCUAUCAAGAUUCGAACUCAAGACCUUUGUAAUAGAAGACCAAUAUAUUAACCGUUGCACCAUCACAUCUUAUUAGUUUUUUUUGAUAACUUAUUUAUAUAAAACAAACACUUAUAUUUUUUUUCCAUUUUUCUUACAAAAUCUUAUCCUCUCAUGGCUCUUUCUUUUUAAUUUUCAACUCUCUCUCUCUCUCUCUCUAUCCUCUUUUUUUUUUCACUCCCUUUUUAAUUAAACCUCUUUAUUUUUAAUUUAUUGAUGUUUUCUUCCAUCUUUUAAUUUGGUUUUUGUCCAUUAAAUUGAAAAAAGUUAAAAAAGAAUUAUUUUUUUAACCCAAAUUAUUUAAUGUUACAACCACUCACUUUUAUCUCAUUUUUUGUUUCUUAUCAAGUUUACAUUUCUAUUUUCGAUUUUCUUGACUUCCUUCGAAUUCCAAACUUUCUUUUUUAAAUUGCAAUCUCUAAAACGUAAAUUAAAAUUUAAGUUCACAAUAUCUAAAUUCUUAUAGACGUGAAUUUUGUAUAAUUUCAAAAUAUUGUGAUAUUUUUGGAUUGGAUUUAGACAUAAUUGAAAUCGAAAUGAAAUUUAUUUGUUUUAACUUAUAAUUUAAAAAAUUUAUUUUUAAAAAAUCCAAGUUAUUAAAAAAUAGUAAACCUUUCAUCAUAUAAAGUAUUAAAUUAAUCCAUUACAUGUCUUAUUUUGUACAUAUAUAUAUUUAUAUAAAUAAUUUUUAAAAAAAUUCAUUGAACCGAGGUUGAACCGAUCCGACCGGUUGAACCUCGACCCUUUCACUUCACCGGUUCAAUUAACGGUCCGGUUUUUAAAACAUUGCUAUGCAUAGAGCUAAACAAGGAAAUGACUAAGUACUAGUGGGGUGAACAUGAAGAGGAGAGGAAGAUUCACUGGAUAGGAUGGAAAUCCUUAGCUAAGGUCAAAGGGAAAGGGGAAUUGGGAUUUAGAGACUUGCAAAGCUUCAACAGUGCUAUGCUUGCCAACAACUGUGGAGGAUAUUAACAAAACCAAAUCUGCUGGUGAGCAAAAUUCUGAGAGACAAAUAUUUCAAAGAAGAAUCCCUUUGGACUGUGAAGAUAAAGAACAGUGAUUCUUGGAUAUAGAAAAGCAUCAGUAGUGCCAGGGACUUAUUGGAGAGAGCGGCUAGAAAAAGAGUAGGGGAUGGUAGAACCAUAAAUAUCUGGAAAGAUAGAUGGAUCCCAGACAGAGGGAAAGGGAAAGUAUCAACUGUUAGACCACCAAAUUAUGAAAUAAGAAGAGUGCAGGAAAUCAUUAAAGAUGGAUAAUGGAACAUGUCAAUGAUGAGAACUCUACUAAAUGAAAAAGACUGCAAGAGAAUUAGCAAGAUACCAAUUAGUAGCUAUGGGGGAAAAGACAAGGUGGUAUGGCCUUAUUCAUUAUCAGGGAAGUAUACAACAAAAACAGGCUAUGUAUUAGCUAAAGAGAUACAAUAGGAAAGAAGCAGAAAGGCUCAACCUGAUGAAGGAAGUAGCAGAAACGACCAAAAUACUAAUGUUUGGAAAUUUUUGUGGAGCUUGAAUAUAAAACAUAAAUUAAAACACUUUAUCUGGAAGUGGCUUUGCAGAAUGCUUCUAGUUAAUGAAGUAAUAAAGACAAGAAUUGGGAAAGGAGUGGAUACUUGUGCAUGCUGUGGAGAAGGGUCAGAAACUUUGGAGCACAUGUUAUUCUUUUGUAAACAUGCAGAAAUGAUUUGGAAGGCAACCCCAAUCAGUUCGGAUGGAUUAAACAUGUUCAGACAAAAUUUUUGGCUCUGUUGGAACAAUCUAAUGGAGACAAAGGCAAGAGAAGAUGGGGAUGGAACACAUUGCAUUGACAGUAGCCAUUUUAUGGUAGAUACGAAAAUCUAGAAACCACAUUCAGUUCAACAAGGAAAGAAAAUGUCCAGGAAUAAUGGCAAGCAAAGCAGUGCAAGAAUAACAAGAAUAAGAUGGGGAAACAGGAAAAGGUAAGGAGAAUUUUGAGGUUGAGGUCAAGUGGAAACCACCUACAAAUGGUUUCAUUAUGUUAAACACUAUUGCAACUUUGGGUAAGAAACAAGAGAAGGCUGGAUGGGGAAUUGUAACAAGGAAUGAACAUGGAGAAGUAGUAUGCCCCUGGGCUGGAAAUGAAAGCAAGGACAAUCAGGCUGAGAUUGAAGAAGCGGAUGCAAUCAAAACUACAUUGACAACGGCCAAAUAGGAAGGUUGGAGGAAGGUUAUAGUUCAAUCAGAUUGCAAAAAGGUGGUGGACAAGAUUGUAGAAAGUGGUAUACUUGAUCCUAUGAUAGGAACAAUAGUUGAGGACAUACUCAGUUUUAUACAAAGUUUUAGCAAAUGACAUCUUUCCUUUAUUAAGAGGGAAGGUAACAAUGUUAGUCAUCAUUUGGCAAAAUUUGCCAUAAACAUGGUUAACUAAGUCUGUUGAGGGAUUCUUUCCCUCUCUAGUUAAUCAACUUAGCUAAAAACGAUGUAGGAGCAAUUGCUCCAUCCUUGUAAUACUUUGUGUUUGAAAUACAAAGCUAGUCAUUUAGUAAAAAGAAAAAAAUAGUUAUCUUAAUUAAUUGAAAAAAUUAUGUCUAUAGUCAACAAUAGAACACUUUGAAAGACUGCAUACAACCUAGAUUCUUUGUUGCAGUCAGAGAAAGUAAAGGUCCAACCCCCAUUAAUAUACAAUGUGUUUUAGUCAUUUUUUAUUAAAAAAGAAAAAGAAACAGAAAGCCAUAUUGAAGGUGACAGAUUGUAAUAGUACUAGGAUAUGAAAGUUGGCAUUCAGCAACGUGCUUGCAUUAAGAAUAGGAUAAAUUACCUUUUACGCCGAUGGUUUGGUGGUUUACCACAUAACUUUCCCAUGAUUUAAAAAUUUAUAUAUGACCCUCGUAUAGUUUGGAUUAAUAUGUCACUCUUAGUUUUUCGUUCAAAUAAACAGCCAAUAAUAAAAAAUCAAAGUCAAACUAAUAUAAAGAUAAAUUUACCCCUUUAUAACUUCUUUUUUUUCUCUAAACAUAAAAAAGAAGAAAUUGAAAUAAAAAUAGAUAAAUAAAAACUAGAAAUAACCAUUAAAGAUUUGGUUUAAAAAUAUAUAAUGAUAUUUGUAGUGAAAAUAGGAUUUGAUAUUUUUUGUUUCCUAUUUAUUUGUUUUAUGUUCUCGUUCCAUCUUUUUUUUAUUCUUAUUUAUUUUUUAUUUCCCUUUCAUCUCUUUGGUAUUUGGAAAAAAUUAAGAUUUUGUAGGCUAAAGUAUUGGUUUUCAAAAUCAUCUAUUCUCUUCCAAAAAAAAAAAAAAAAGAGAGUGAGAGAAAGAAAAGGAAAAAAGGAAAAAAAUAGUGAAAGGAUGGAUUGUCAAUUUAUUAGUUGACUUUGAUAUUUUACUAUUAAUCAUUAGUUUUAACAAAAAAACUAGCAGUAACACUUUAACUUAAACUAUGAGAGGAUUAUAUAUAGAUUUUUUAAUCAUAAUAGGGUUACAUGGUAAAACACAACACCACACCACACAAUAGGGGAGGGGAUAAAAGGUAAUCUAUCCUUAAAUAUAUAGUAGUGACUAAGCAUAUAGAACAAGGAUACGACUCCACAGCCAGACUCAUGUAAUCUAAAAUUUUCGCCGGGAUAUUAGAAUUCACAUUCGCUUUCACACUUGGUAUUUAUGGUUACUGGGAUACCAGGAAAUAGCAGACAAUCCCUGCAUUGAUUCAUUUACUUGGUCUGACAUAUGCUCUAUUUAUAGGUUCAAAGAAUCUGCAAGGAGUUUGGUACUGCUUCAGGGGUCAGAAACAUGGAUAGACACAAUUAUGACACAAGAUUUUGAGUCUGGUUGCCAAAAUUUCACAAGAAAAGGUUCAUUUGGCAUCUGAUCUUUUAAAACCAGUCCAUGAGAUUUGCAUUAUAAACACAUAAUUCAGUAAUCUGUGAGAUACUGAGACAGCCUCCGAAUAAACCAAAAGCUGUGUCCACAAGAUGCUUAAUAGAAAAACAAAAUGCCAGAACAGGUCAAUCUAGUUCCAGGUAGCAUUACAUAGAAGAGUUUCGAACAGAAUUUGAUGCACUAAUAAUGACACAGUCUCAGCAGCCUCAGCAACCUGUUAGAACAUUGAACAAACAUCAUUAGAUACGUUGAAAUGAAAAAAGAUACACAAAAAAGAGAAGAAAAAUGUCACCACAAUAAAUAGUAGAACAACUAGAAACUGGUUUUCCACUUCUCAAUGCUGCUCUGCACAUAGUAUCACCACAACUCUACACAAUCUUCUUCCCGUUUUGAAUAAAGUAGGGCUCUCAACCACUAUCUCCAACAUAAAUCAGACCAGUAAAUCCAUUUUCCUUUUCCUGGUCCAAGAACUUCCACAAGAAAAAGACUUCAGGCCUCCAAAUGUGUAUUUAUAUGCUCUAUGGUGAACAAGUUCCUGCUACAUGACAAUUAAAGACGAAAUUUGCCAUCCUAAACGCAGCAAUUGUUUAACACCAAAACACAUGCAAUUUGCUGUAACAGAGUGGACAACUAUGUUAGUUCUUUAAUCAUCUAAAAUCAGGAUAAAGGGACACUUCUAAAGAGUUGGAUACUGGUACUUAGGUAUGAUGGACAUUCUAGGAAAUAUACAAAUUAUGUACAUCGAUUGUUGUUUACUUGUUAACGAACAGGGCCAUUUUGCCGUGGGAGCUUUUCAGAUUUCAUUUAUACAAGGGAAAUUCAGAAUUUUAGAUAGGUCUUCUGUCUCUCUAACAUGAAAGUCCUAAAGUUUUCCACUUCACUUCUCUCCUCCCCCUUCACCAUCAACAUCCACUGACAAAAAAGAAAGUACCCAAAAAAUUGUUGAAGUGCCCCAAAUGGAUCCCAUACCAGUACCAGUGUCAAGUUAUGUCGACACAGGCACACUGGGGUAAAACAAAAAGCUGGAGUAACAUAGGUGGAAGGGUGAUUUUCAGGUAGCUAAUCUGUUAGUGUCACCAGUUUGACAAGCAUGGUGCAGCUUAUACCCAUUAUGGCGACAAUGGCUUUCACCCUGACAAAAUUAUAAAUAACUCGAUGACCAUGUCUUGGAAAAUCUUUUGCAUUGCUUGGGCCUCCAAGAAAGAUAGAUGGUGAGAGUGAUAGCUGGAAAUUUCAAUCACAUAAUAAAGCUCACUUCUCUCUUCCUUUCUAUCUGGAUCGGAAGAAUCAAAUCCCUACGCCACGGAACUGGUCAUGAAAAAAUGAAUGUAUAUUAGGAACCACAUAUACCCCUCAUCUCAACACACAUGAUUUAUUUCUACAGCCAAGCCCCACAAAAACUUUGGUUUUAAGAGGACAGAAAGCAAACUCCUACAAAAAAAGGUUUCAAGAUUAUAAUCGUGUUUGAAGUUACUGAAGACAAGAGUGACGAAUCCAGCUAAAGCUUUUCUGAAUAAUGCCAUCAGCGAAACCUCUUCAAACAGGCUUGAGUAUCAUUCUUCAACGCAAUUAUAGCUACCAAACCAGUAACACGCCAACUUGCACUCACAGCAGUUUUGUUACCAGAAAGUAGCCAGUAGGGUUUCAGACUUCAAUAACAGUACAAGAGCUGCUAAAACACUAUGCAAUGAAAGUAGCUAAUAAGCAACUGUUAAGAAUUGAACUUUGUUCCAACCUCGAAAGGAAAAGAUAUCAGAAAUUAUACUAGUCAACAACUGUUAUUUGCCUUUAUCUCUCUCUGCCCCUAACUCAAGCAUACUUCCCAUUCAACUGAAGUUCAAACUCAAUAAAAGCCCAGAUUCCAAGGACUACAGCUUAUUGUUAAAUGUGAGUAUUAUCCUCGGCUAUCUUUUCUCUGGAAAAGCUGUUUAAUCAGAUUCUUUCCUAGCUGGGGAUACAACAAUGUAUCUCUACAUGCCCCUUGGAAGAGAACUUUUGGCUACAAACUUCAAUAGGCUACAACUGUUUUCAAGCUUAGAUCCACUACAUGGAUAAUUUCCUAUUUCUUUUUUUUUUUCAAGUCCUUUUGCCCAGUAUCAAGUGAAAAAUGAGGCUCAUAGAAGAAAUGAAAGCUGUAACUGGGCAAAUCUUGGUGGUAUUGACCAGAACCAACUACUAAAGCACCCCAAAUCUCAUGGUUUUUUGUUCAUGUGAGCAGUUGCACUUAUAGCCAGUUUGUCACAUAUCACAUAGUCUACUCACUUAAUAUGACUGAAAAAGCAGUGCUCUUAACAAAAAAGAAGUCAUCAAUUUAGCUUCAUGAGGUUUUGAUCGAUGCUUUGACAGAAUUUGGUAAACAUUCAGGUACAAAUGAAAAAACCUAAUAUACUGCAGGUGAACUAAGUUAUUAUCUAGUACAAAGGCACUACAUUUGCAAUCUUUUCCAUUACAACAGAAUGAUUAGCUUCAAUACUUCUGAGGUACAAAAUUAUCAAAAUUUGUUCAGUUGACAACAGAAAACUAAUCAGGCCAUUAUAGUUCGCACAUCUAGAAACAACUUUGGGAGUUAGACGUAAUAUCAAUGAACAUUCAAAGGUAGCAAAAAGCUAAUCACAGAUCCACACAAAGCAAAGGUUGCAAAAAGCUAAUCACAGAUCCACACAAGUUCAUAUACAUUGUCUCUAAAGUGGCACUAUUCUUUGCCUACCAACUGACCAAAGGUUGCAAAACUAUGGCAUCCUGCAGUUAACUUUAUGCCAAUUAUUUUGUGGUUUAGGAACUGUUUAACUUUAUCCAUUGAAUAGAACAGGAAUGCUCUCAGUUUUAAAAAAGGAUUACUUUGAUUCAGAUCUUCAGGGCAGCUAAAUUCUAAGACCAAUAGACCUACACAUGAUCAUCUUCAACUACGGACUCAUCUCCUAUAAACUAAAUCAUCUUGAACAAAACAUUUAACCGGUAAAAACUCUGAAAUAUCUAAUCUAAUCACCACAUGUUGCCCUUUAACCGAUAAUCAACGAACUUCUUGGCUGUCUCUUGACUAGGUCCCCCAUUGUGCAGAAUCCUUCAUUUCAACCAAAAAGAGGACCUUGAGCGUCCAACUUAUUUUGGGUGACAAAAACCAUGGGGAGCCUUUUGGCCCAUCCUCCUCCCCACUCUACUGCAGGACCCAACCUGAAUCUGAAAAACAGCCAGUACCCCAGGACAGCACUCUGAUGCAGAAUUCCAAACCUCAAAUUAUCAAAUAAAACCUACAACCUUAAACAGAAACCAAAGCUUCCCUGACAUAAGUGAGAAAAAUCCACAAGUGCAAGAGAUAAUAUUUCAUGCAUUAUGGAAUCAAUAUUUUCUUUCCAGUCAAAAUGUUUAACAGAGAACAGCUAUUGCUUCAUCCAUCAAAUGCAUAAUCAGUUCAAUGAACAUCCAACUCUGGUAAUAAGUCUAUUACUAUUAAGUUGAAAAAAAAUCAAAAUACUGAUGUGCUAAAUCACUCCAACCCCCUGUUUCCAUCAAAUGCUAAAUCAUUCCAACCAUUACCCAAAAGUUGAUAAUAAGUUCACCAAUAAACCAGAAAAAAAAAGGGGGAAAGAAAAGUAGAUCCUAAACAACCAGUCAAACACUUGAGCAAGCAUUAAGCCAUUUGCCAUUUGAAACACCAUACACGCUGCCUGACAAACCUCUUAGCUCAAAAAUAAAGAACUGCAAAAGAAAACCACUACUCAAAGCCUCAUCAAACUAAAACAUCUUAUAUCACCAACAGAAAAUUUAGCUAAUAGGCCAUACUGGAAUAAGAAGUGCAAAACAAAUUUGGAUUGCGGUUUAUUUGUCAAAAUAUAUUUGCUUACAUUAUCAUUACAAUUUCCAACACACCUUUUUAUCUUUCCAAUUACCUUUUUAUCUCACAUACAUCACAUCACAAAAAGUGCUACAGUAAAAAUAUCUCUAAUAAUUCACAAUCCAAACAAACCUAAACUUUCACAACUUUUGCGAAAAAAUCUACAAGCACAAUGUUGGAAAUAAUGCGUUCAACGCAUAUGAAUCUCAAUAUCCAGAGACAGACAUUGAAAGAAUCGAAGCACGCAAAGGAGAAUUACCAAGGCAAAUCAACAAAACUGAAGCAAAACUCCAACCAACAAAAGUGAGGUACAAAAGAAGGAUAUAAGCUUUAUCACAAAAGAACCACAUAAAUAAGCAAUGCAACACUCUUUAACAGAUACUGAAAUUCACUAAGAAACUCAUAAGCUUGAAUUAAACCACAUUCGAUUGAAGAAAAAUCCUUGAUUAAUAUUCCCUCUGUUCUAUUGACACUGUCAUAUUUUGCUUUUUAGGUUGUCCCAAAAUAUUUGUAACUUACAUAAAUUGGCUAACACAUUUGCAUUCAAUUCCUCCAUUUGCCGUUCAAACACUCCCUAAAAGUCCAAUGCAUGUGUCUUUUCAUGAGCCCACAGAUUAUCACCAACGAAACUAAGACUUCGUUUGAAGUACGCGCUAAUUGGCUUUAAGAAGCUAAAGCCAUUAAGUGUUCUGAUGCACGCGCUAGUUGGCAAUCAUAUCUGGGAUUGGACAAACAUCAUGGCUCCACAAUAAUUCUUUAUGUCUUAAUACAACACUUAAAGCUCUUCAUGGGGGUGAAACGAGAAACUACAGCAUCAAUUUUCAAAUUCUAUCCACUCUUCAUAAAAAUUACAGUUCCCGAAGUGCGAUAAAUUUUAUGGGAUGAAUACCAAAACUGUCAUUAAAUUGUCUAUCAUACGAGUCAUUAGCUCAUAAAUUGCAAGCACUUCAACCAAAAAUUACAUUUCUAUGCCAAAAACCCCAUUCAGAGAUAACCUUAAGCUGUCAAACAUAGAGAUUAUAAAUCCUAAAGACUGUCAAUUCAAAAAACUAAAGCAAACCCACUUAAUAAAACCUAUCCAACAGUCACCCAAGAAAAAAAAUUUUAUUUACCUUCCCUAAGAUUAAACCAAAUAAAACUUGAAACCCAGAAAAAUGUCAAAAAGCCUCCAAAAAAUCCCAGGAAAAUUAUCCAAAAUAGAAGUCAAAGAAAAAACUAAAAAAUAAUUACCUUUAGAUCAAGCAUUUGGCAGUUUGAGGAAUAGGCUGCGCCGCUGGGGAGCCGUGUUUUUGUUGGGCUUCGGCUUCCGGGAUCUUCUGCAUCCGUUCCAUGACAAGCUCGUACACUCUCUUCUUACCUGCUUGAUUGAUUAACAAAUUGAUAAGACCGAAACAAGUAAUCUAUGUGGAUAUGCCACUCAUAUUCUCUGCCUGAUCAAUUAUACAUGUAAACAAAAUUCACGGCUUGAGGUAAAGCAAAAAUAGUCGGCCUUGUUUGGAUUCCCAUUUCUUCCCAAAAAAUUUUACACUUUGCGAUAAUGCAUCUUUCAAUCACUUUUUUUACCUCAUAUCAUAUCGUUACAAUAUUUUUUUAACAGAAACUCCAGAAAAUAGUAUCCAGACGGGCUAUUUGCGAUCUCAAAAGCAGCAGUCAAAAUGACUGCUGCACUGCCCGACUCACAUCGGUUGAGCUGAAGGAACUACAAUUACACAGUCAAAAUGACUGAAGCUCUAAUAGAAAGGCCGCCAGAGUUGCUCCAAAUUAACCGGUCCAUAUCCGCUGCUAGUACAGCAAUGAUACUGAAAGAUGAAGUUGCAAUCUUGCUGCUGCUGCUAGUCUUCUCAUUGAAAUUAAUGUCUUAGUAUCCACAGAAUUUUCUCAAGUACCCCACAGCUUUCUCUUCACAGACUCGACCACAAUUACCAUGGUCCCCCCAGCUCUCUAUUGGACUCUUUUCUCAUGGCAGCCGGCUGCCAACCAGGGUGAUAGACUGAUAAACCCAAGAAUCUUUUUCUAUUUUGCUAACUUCCAAGAAAUAAUUUCAAGCAGAAAUUUGUCCCUUUCCUUACCUGCCUCCAAAAGAAAUUAUAGAAAUUACUCUUUGGAGUAUGGGAGUAUAGUAUAGUUUGAAUCAGUCUAAAGACUUGACUUUUCCGACUUGGCAAGUCCACGCAGGAGUUUACAGUGACGGAGCCAUCCUCACUUCAUUUUCCAAGGACCAAUAAUUCCUCCCACCUCAUCCUGCAAAUCCUAAGCUUUAAACCGAUCAUCUCCAUCGAUGUAGGAGUAAUCUGUGUGUUUUGGGGUACCCUCUUAAUUUUGCUCCAAUGUUUACUCUUCUUGUGUACCUUUCCUUUCUCUUCAAUCUCUUGUUCAUCAUCACUUCCAGCGAUACUCCACCUUACAGCCCCACAGAUUACAUCCUGAUCAACUGCGGAUCAUCCUCAAACGCAACCUCAGCCGAUGGCCGGAACUGGUACGGCGACGCCGGCUCAAAAUUCUCCCCUAACGACAUGGCGACUAUUUCUUCAGCUGUCACAGCCACCGAGCAAGACUCUUCGGUCUCCGGAGCCCCUUAUUUAACUGCCCGUAUCAUUCGUUCUAAUUUCUCCUAUACCUUCCCUGUCUCCCCCGGAAAAAAGUUCGUCCGCCUUUACUUCUACCCGGCGUCCUACUCCAGCGACUUCAACGCAACUGAAUCUUUCUUCGCUGUCAUGGCUAAUAACUACACCCUUCUGAGCAACUUUAGCGCAUUUUUAACAGUUUCUUUCGGUGGAUCCUCAUCUGCCUCCCUUGUUAAAGAAUUCAUCAUUAAUGUUCAGGCUAUGAACCAAUUCCUCAACGUUACCUUUUCGCCCUCUCCGAAGUCCUACGCGUUCAUUAAUGGAAUUGAAGUUGUUUCAACCCCGGACGGACUCUACAUGGGCAACCAUGAUAUGUCCAGUAAUCCCCUCAAAAACGUGAAUGAUCCCAACAUUCAGUUCGAGCUUGAUCAGAACGACACCGCCUUCGAAGCUCUUUACAGGCUUAACGUCGGAGGUAAAGAUGUUUCUGCAUUAGCUGAUAGUGGGAUGUUCCGAGGAUGGGUUCCCGAUGACAACUUCAUCUGGGGCGCAGAUCAAGGGAAUCCAUUGAGCAAUAAUCAAAUUGCUGUCAAGUACACUCCGCAAACCCCAAAUUACACUGCGCCAGCGAUAGUUUAUACUACCGCAAGGGCGAUGGGCGAGCUUAGCACCCGAUUCAACUUGAGCUGGAUGUUUUAUGUUGAUUCUGGGUUUGAUUAUCUCCUGAGGUUGCAUUUUUGCGAGAUUACCCCUGAUUUGAUUUCACAAGAGAACGAACGGGUGUUCAGGAUAUUCAUCAGUAACAAAACAGCUGAGCGAGAGAUUGAUAUUAUAACUUGGACCGGCGGCCCCGGAAUCCCGGUUUUCAGAGACUACGUCGUGUUCGUUCCACACCCACCGGAUGGUCGCCCGAGCAAGCAAGGCUUGUUUCUUGCUCUGUACCCAAAUCUCGACUUCAAGACGAAGUAUGCUGAUGCAAUCUUGAAUGGUUUGGAAUUGUUCAAAUUGAGCAACAGCGGCAGUCUUGCCGGGACCAAUCCUGAUCAGGCGGCGGAUCCCAAUUCCCCGAUGCCAAACAGCAAGUCACCGAAAAAGGGGAGAGGUGUAAAAUCUCCGGUACUUUUUCCUAUCGUGGGAGGGGUGGUCGGAGGGUCUGCCUUGGUUUUCAUCAUCGGUUUCUUGAUUUCCCGGCGGCUAAGGAGACGGGUAAAAGAUUUUGACCAGAAAAGUGCUUCAAAGUCAUCCGGGGUCCAACUUUCAACCAGGUCCAGGUCAUCAAAGACAACAAGUGCAUCGAGGUCUUCGUCACUGCCGCUAGAUCUUUGCCGAAGAUUUUCCCUGGAGGAGAUCAUCUUUGCUACGGCCAACUUCGAUGCUAAGUUUGUGAUCGGAACCGGAGGAUUCGGAAACGUGUACAAAGGGUACAUUGACAAUAGUCUAAUCACAGUUGCUAUUAAGCGAUUAAAUCCUUCGUCAAGUCAAGGGGUCCGCGAAUUUCGAACCGAGAUCGAGAUGCUGUCGAAUCUAAGGCAUCUUCAUCUGGUAUCCCUGAUAGGUUACUGUGACGAGAAGGGAGAGAUGAUCUUGGUUUAUGAUUACAUGGCCAAUGGCACCCUUCGCGACCACCUCUACAAAACAGAUAAUCCACCCCUCCCUUGGAAGCAACGGCUUCAGAUUUGCAUCGGCGCAGCCAGAGGGUUGCAUUAUCUCCACACCGGCGCCAAGCACAACAUCAUCCACCGGGACGUCAAGUCAACCAACAUAUUGCUGGACGAGAAAUGGGUGGCUAAGGUUUCGGAUUUCGGUCUGUCCAAGCUAGGCCCCAGCGGUGGAAUCCACAGCCAUGUCAGCACGCAGGUGAGGGGGAGUUUCGGCUACGUAGAUCCCGAGUAUUACAAGAGACAGCAGUUGACGGAGAAGUCGGACGUGUACUCGUUCGGGGUGGUUUUGCUCGAAGUGCUGUGUGGGCGGGGAGCCAUUAUUCGCAACUUGCCCAAGGAGCAGGUGAAUUUGGCGGGGUGGGGCAAGAGGAAUUACGCAAAAGGGAUCAUCCACCAAACUGUAGACCCUCACAUGAAGGGCGAGAUUGCUCCUGAGUGUUUGAGGAGCUUUGCUGAAACGGCGAUCAACUGUUUGAAAGAUCAGGGGAUUGAACGACCCGGAAUGAAUGAUGUAGUCUGGAGCCUCGAAUUCGCGUUGCAGCUUCAGGAGGCGGCUGAAAAUGAGAGGCUAAUUGAUUAGAAUAUAGGUGUAAAAAAAAAAAGUCAAACGACACUUACGGAUCUGACAGAGCAUGUAUAAAAUUAUGGGUAUCGGGCUGUCUGAUAGAGCCCAUGUAUAAAACUAUGGAUAUCGGACUGAGACAGCCCGGCACCCGACAGAAACCCUUUUUUUUUUAAAACAUGUUAGUUUCAGCCCGGCAUUUGACACAUUUUUUUUGAAAAAAGAUGUCAAGUGUCGGGCUACACCUGACAUUCAAUUGAGUGAAUUGCAAUUCACUUUAUUUGUUAAGUUAGUUGAUAAAUGCAAUUCACUUUAAUUAGUUUAGUGGAUUAAUUAGUUUAAUUAAUUGAGUGAAGUAAUUUUAAGAGAUUCGAUUAACUGCAUUUAAUUAAGGUGAUGGUUUUAUUUGUUACUAGGUAUUCUGCCCUGACGCUAUGCGUCAGGUAGGUUGGAUCCGGUAUUUUAUUAUAACGAGUAUGAGUUUGAAAAAUUGGAGGGCGGAAAGAAUUAUUCAAUCGAACUUUAACGUCAAGUAUGUCUUGAAACUCACUGCAACAUCAAACAACAAAGAUCCAGUACAGAGGAGGGGAAAAAAGGAUAGCCCUCCAUCAUAAUAAAAGAACAAAGCCAUAAUUUUGUUCAAGGAAAGAGACCUUGGAUCUGCCCAGAAAGAAGUUUUAUCCAACUCAGGAACUAUAAGCGUCACAUUCAAAUGUCUGGCAAUUGCGACCAUGUCAUGUAUCUGUACCCCAAUAACAUGGAGGAAAAGUAUAGGUUAUCAAAAAUUGCUGUCAUAAGCCAGUUCAAACAUGCAAGCCACAUUAUUAAGAAUCUACUAAUCGCCGCCUGCAUUUGGUUAAGGCCUCCGUUGCAUGAAACCAUUAGAUAACCAUUGUUCUUGUAAACUCCUACAUCAAAAGGUGCAAAUUUCAAAUCUGAUUGUAGGUGGGGGAAAAUAGUAGUCAAAAUACCCAAUACAAUUCCAACAAGGGACAAAUUAAUGAUCCAUGCUUAUUCCAAAUAAAACAAACAACACAUUUAUGAUUAACCGCUGCAAAUAGAGAAUGCAGCAAAAUCCACUGAUGCAGUAAAACAACCUAAGAGGUUUGUUAUACCAAUUACUUCAUUUCAAAACAAAACAAAAGAUCAACAACCACCGCAAACUCUCAAUUCUGCAAGUGCUUGGAGCAACCAAAUCUCUCAGGAACUUGCCGCAUGCUUCUCAACUUUUCAAUAAUCAACCAGCAGUCCAAGUCAGUCGUUUCAUCCAUCGGUGUGUGAAAUUAAACCCCACUUUCCUAAAUUCAAAGACCCUUAGAUUCUACAUUAUAAAGCACCCUGAACACCACAAAUACACCCACCUCAUAUCCACUAUCCUUUCCGCUUACAUUCACCAAAAUAUGAGCUUCUACUUCCCAUCUUUUAAAGCGAUCAACAUCAACCAUCAAAACAGCAAAUUCAUUACAGCGCCCAAAAAUAAAAAUCAAAGAGCAAAAACAGAAUCAAUCAAGUAGUAAUACUCAUUCUUGGGAGGAAGAACUCGAGCAGGGACAUCUUCAGGGGCAGAUUUAACAUCCAAAGCGGAAGCAGAACCAGUAACAGAAUCCUGAGAAAAGCAAGAUGGCCAUCCCUUCAAAAUUCUAGGACCAAAACUUUCACCCAAUGCCGUUAACUAAACCAAGCAAUUCCACAACAUCACAGAUGUAGUAGCCCUUAUCAUCCAUAGCUUCAUUUCGACCGUGAAACCAUGGAAUUUUUAAACUUCUCUACUCUACUAUGUUGAAUAAUAUUUCCACCUUUCAACCCCAUCACCCCACCUAAUCCUAACCCUAACCCUAGCCCCCUUAAACCCCAGUUCUUCCUCCUCCUCCAAACACUCUCCUCACUCUUCUCUUUCUCUAUUCUGCACAUAUCCCCCAUACAUCAAAAUUCCCCGCCUCUCCUUUUCUUCAAAAAAAUCAACAACUUCUCAUUAAAUUCUGCAGAAACUAUUACGUUUAAUCUAUGAAUGAAAAAAAAUCCCUGAUCUUAAUUUACAAUCUAAUAGAAAAUUCAAUAGGAAAACAAGGGAAGGAAAAAACACCGCCCGGAGAAAGCUAAGAAGAAGAAUGAGGAACGGGAAAGACACAGCUGGUAAACAAGGCGAAGAAAAGAACGAGAAGAAACAAGACCGACAAAAGAAUAGGAAAAAGUAGCAGCUCCCAAAACCCUGAAAGGGCGCGUACUGGAUUCAGCUCAACUCACCAGAACAGAACGAAGAACGCUAAGAACAGAACAGAACAGAACAGAACGAAGAAGAGAAUGAGAGGAAAUUGCUGACCGUCAAAAUGUUGCCAUCGAAGAGAGCCACGCGGACAGAAGUGAAUUUCCAGCAAAGCCAUUGCCAUCCAAUCCCAAAAUGCCCCUCAAAGUCACAACAAUCGCAGUAUAACCGGUCCAUUGUCCACUGUUCAUAGGCUAUUCAUGCUUUAUAUAUGUAUAUGUAGUAAGAUUUAUUAAAUAUUCAUUUAUUUGUUAUAAAUGAUUUAAUUAUUUAAUUAUAAUGCAUUAUUUGUUGUUAUUUGUUAUUAUUUGUUGUUAUUUAAUUACACUUUAUUUGUUGUUAUUUGUUAUACUAUUUGUUAUUAUUCGUUGUUAUUUAAUUACACUUUAGUUGUUGUUAUUUGUUACUCCCUCCCUUUUUUUAUAACUGACGUUUAAGGUUUUGCACACCAAUUAAGAAAAGUUUUUCAUUGUUUAAAUCUAUACACUACUUUCCUUUUGUACCCUCAUUAAUUGUCCAAUUCACUCAUGUUUUCUCUCACUAGAGUAUUAAAUGGUGCUGUUUUACUAGACCAAAAGCAAUGCAAACUAACUCCCACCAAUUAUGAAAAGAGAGAUAAAAGGGUAAAAUUGUGAAAAAAUAAUUAAUGCUGCAUGGGGAUAAUAAAACGACAGAUAAAAGUACUUAAGAGCAAAUUUCUUAAACGUCAGUUAUAAAAAAAGGGAGAGAGUAUAUUAUUUGUUAUUAUUUCUUAUAAUUAUAGAAUCGCAAUUAUUUAUUUAUUUGUUAUAAAUUAUAUAUAUUUGAUUCAAUUAAUUAAUUAUUCAAAUAAGCAUAUUAAUGAGGUUCUAAAAUGCUAUCAACACUCGUCUCUAAUAGGUAUAACAUGUCAAGUGAUAAUUGCUUGGUGAUUCAAGUAUAUUAGGGUGGAAAAAUUAUAAAUGAAGGAUGGUCAAUUUUAUAUGAUCCUUCUAUACCGAAACAAAUGUUGUUCCUUACAGAGAUGGUCGGUUAUGAUGACUUGGUAGACAAAAUAUACAAUCUUUUGGGUUUAGAUCGGAAUCUUCUGGGUAGACAAAAUAUACAAUCUUCAUUACAUGUUUGCUAAAUAUCAAAUAUUAUAAUAUGGGAAUUUAGUCUUUUAUUAUUUGAAUGCUUAUCGUUAUUUUUAUAUUUAGCCAUUUCACCGUUGUCACGCUAUGCAUUUUUUCCUCUUUUUUUGGUCCUUUAUUUUAUAUAUUGCACAAUAAAUUUAGUUUUAUAAAAUUAUAGUGAACAUUAAAAAUUACAUAAAAAUUCUAACAAAUUAUUUCUCAACAAUUUGAGAACUACAUCUUAUUACAAAAUGAAUGGUAUAUUUUGUUUGAAAAACAUUUUCGUUGUUUAACAUCCUAUAGGAGUAAUUAGUGAUUUUGCACAAAUCUAUUUUCUUUUUUUCUUAUGUUUCAACUUUGAAAUGUAAAUUAAUUAACUUAAAUUUCAAAGUAUUUAGUACUUCAGGUCGACUCAGCUUUUUAUUAAACUUUUUUUCUUGUUUUGGUUUUUUGAUUUAUUUUGUAUGGGAGAUUUAUGAAAUUAUCUUCACAAUACAAACUACGAAAAAAAUUCAGAACUUAAAUAGAUGUUCUAUUAGUAUGCAUUAUGUUCAAUUGGUAAAAUGCAAAAAUUCAAUAUAAGUACCAACACGAGAAUGAAUACGAAAUCUAAAAUGUUUAGGGUUUAGGGUUUAGGGUUCAAGGUUCAGGGUUUAGGGUUUAGGGUUUUGAUCUUUAGGGUUUAGGGUUUUCGGGUUUAGGCUUUAGGCUUUAGGGAUUAGGGAUUAGGGUUUUUAGGUUUAGGGUUUAGGGUUUAGCGUUUAGUGUUUAGGGUUUUGAUCUUUUGCAUGAUGCAACAUGUCACAAAUUACGAUUGAUAAUUACUAAUCAUAUCACAAUUUCAGCCUUACGAUAUUUUCUUGAGAAUAAAAUGAGAAGCUAUAAAUGAAAGAGAAAAAUUCAAAAUUAAAAGAAUAUGAAUACUAGAUAAUUGUAUUUCAAGUCAAGUGAUUUGAAUUCUAGUGGGAAGUUUUCACUAAGAAUUUUUUGUUACUCGGCACAUUUUGUUUGGUAGACUUAUUAAUUUUUUUUUUAUUUUUCAGAAAAAUUCGGUCAGGUACCGGGCUGACACAAUCCAACACCUGAUAGAUUUUUAAAAAAAAAUUUCCUGUCAGGUGAGAUUCUAUAAUUAUAAGAAAUAAUAACAAAUAAUAUAACAAAUAACAACAAAUAAAGGGUAAUUAAAUAACAACGAAUAAUAACAAAUAACAACAAAUAAAGUGUAAUUAAAUAACAACAAAUAAUGCAUUAUAAUUAAAUAAUUAAAUCAUUUAUAACAAAUAAAUGAAUAUUUAAUAAAUAACAAAUUAAACCUAAUUCAUCACCUUAAUUAAAUGCAUUUAAUCGAAUCUCUUAAAAUUAAUUCACUCAAUUAAUUAAACUAAUUAAUUCACUAAACUAAUUAAAGUGAAUUGCAUUUAUCAACUAGUUUAACAAAUAAAGUGAAUUGCAAUUCACUCAAUUGAAACAGAUGCCGGGCUGACACAGCCCGACACUUGACAUCUUUUUUUUUUUUUAAAUGUGUCAGGUGCUGGGCUGUCUGACAUGUUUUUUUAAAAAAAAAGUUUCUGUCAGGUGCCGGGCUGUCUCAGCCCGGUACCCAUAGUUUUAUACAUGCACUCUGUCAGAUCCGCAAGUGUCUGACUUUUCUUUUUUAUACAUAUAUUCUAAUCAAUUAGCCAAAAUGAGAGUGGUCGACGUCCAUUUGCUUUCCGUAUGCAUGGGUUGGGAGGAGAUGAGCAAGCUACGACUGAGGACGACGAGGAUGUGUUCUCAGACUCGGGAGUUGAGAAAGAUUCUGCCACCAGGAUGAAGAGCCGCCGUAGUAUUACGACCGGGACAUUCACGGCCAGUAGUGACAUGUUAAAGUCUGACAAUGUUUUCUCCGAGAUCAUGAAUCCCGCCGCAAGGUGAGGAUUUUAAUCAAUAGAUUAAACCUUCAAAAUUGUACGUGGGAUAUUCAUGUCUCAGGAGUCGAGCGUGCUAUGUCCUUGUGCUAUUUUUUUUUGGUUUUUUUUUGUCUGUAUUGGGCAACCUAUUUGUAAUGCCAAGAUAGUGUAUUUUUUGAAAUGUAAUAUUAAUUAAGGGAAGUACAUAAAUAUUCGGAGUGUUUUUGAAAAUGUAAAAUCGAUUUAAAAAAGUAAAUAAAUACGAUAGAAGAUCAGUAAAAUUGAUGGGAAAAGUAUUAAAUGCAAGGGAAGGUUAGUGUUUUUGAUAAUUCAUGCCUUAGGAGUCUAGCGUGCUAUGUCCUUGUGCAUUUUUUUUUUGUAUUGUGCAACCAUUAAGAUAUAUUUGUGGUGUUAAAAUAUAUUUUGAAAAUGUAAAAUUAAUUAAGGAAAGUAUGUAAAUAUGAGGGAGUAUUGUUGGGGAUGUAUGAUUAAUUAAGAAGAGUAAAUAAAUACAAGAAAUGAUUGGUAAGAUUAGAUGAGAAAAAUAUUAAAUGCAAUGGAAAGUAAUAACUGUUAGUAUGUGUAUAUAUGAUAGGUUAGGUGAAUUUUAAAUGUCUUAAUAAAAUAAAAGUACCUAACGGAUAUGGGUACUUAUUAAAAAAAAUGUUAUGAAAUAACAAAAAAAAUGUGGAUGUCCUUUUGUAUUCCCAAGGGGAUUAAUUCAUGAUUUUAUGGCAACAUUAUGUAUAGAAAUUACAAUCCAUAAAUCUAUUUAUGUAGUGAAAAAACUGUUUCAUAAGUUUCUUCAUAUUAUUGUAGUAGUGGAUGUUUAAUAGGACUAAUGCACCUUUGAUCUUGUAGUACCUAUAUAGAGGUACAUUGACACCCUUUGGGAGCACUUUUGUAUUUUGUUGGAAUACAAGAAUACCACUCUCCAUUUCUCUACUUCUUUCUCCAAUAUUUCACUUGAUAUUAUAGUAGUUUAUUUUAUUAGUUUUAUAACACGUUAUCAGCACGAGUAUCUACUUUGGAGCAAAAGGUGAAAACGGAGGCGCUACUUUGAACAAAAGUGAAACACAAGAUUUUGCCGAAAUUCUGCUUGUAUUUCUUCAAGUGACUUUUGAGGUAAAUUUCUAACUCAAAAACUUAUUUUAAUUUCUUAUGGCUAAUUUUACAAAACAAGAGUUCGUACCUCUUGAUAUUUCUGGAAAAAAUUAUUUAUUAUGGGUAUUAGAUGUUGAAAUUCAUCUUGAUGUAAUGGGUCUUGGUAACAUUAUUGUUGAAAAACAUGAAUUCUCAAACCAAAACCGUGCCAAAGCUAUGAUUUUCCUUCGUCAUCAUUUAGAUGAAGGAUUAAAAAUAGAGUAUCUUACUGUCAAAGAUUCUCUUGUCCUUUGGCAAGAUUUGAAAGAAAGAUUCGACCACCUGAAGUUGGUCGUUCUUCCAAAAGCCCGAUUUGAUUGACUUCACUUACAGCUGCAAGAUUUUAAAUCUGUCAAUGAAUAUAAUUCAGUCAUGUUCAGAAUCACUUCUCAAUUAUCAUUAUGUGGCAAAAAAGUUACUGAUGAAGAUAUGUUAGAGAAAACAUUUUUUACUUUUCAUGUCCUAACAUGCUCCUGCAACAGCAAUAUCGAGAGAAGGGAUUUAAAAAAUAUUCUGAACUUAUCGUAUGUCUUCUCUUGGCUGAACAAAACAAUGAAUUAUUGCUGAAAAAUCAUAAGUCCCGACCAACUGGUACAAGUCCAUUCCCUGAAGCGAAUGCGACUCAAUUUCAAAAUUCUGGUCGAGGUCGUGGACGUGGCCGUGGAAGAGGCUGUGGAAGAGGCCGUGAUCGUAUUAAAUUUGUGCCUCGUGAAAAUUUUAACCGUGGCAAACAACAAAAUGUUUCCCAAAAAAGGAAAAAUAACUACGAUCAGAAAAAUGGAGGAAAGAAAGUUUAUAAAGAAAAAUGCUAUUGGUGUGGUAUGGAAGGUCAUUGGUCUCGUACCUGUCGUACGGCCGAACAUCUUGUCGAUCUCUAUCAAGCAUCAUUGAACAAGAAAGAGAAAGGCAUUGAGACAAAUUUCAUUAAUCAAAAGAAUAAGAGUAAAUAACAAAAAAGCCCCCUGUGAUUAAGCAAUCAUACAUAAAAGCCCCAUGUAGUUUCAUAUCAUACCAGUCGAUACCCCGUGGUCUGAAUUAACCUGAAAAGUGGACGGAAAUCGUCAAAUAUUCGGCGUGUGUCUUAAACGAACUGCAAAGGCGCGUGCAUAUGCGAAAAAUAGAUUUCCACCACCAACUUUCAUCUGAUAUGCCUACUUUACCCUUCACUCUUUAAUAAUAAGAGGCCAGCUUCCAAGUCUUCCGAGUCUUCAUGUUCGGCCAAAAUUGAAAAUUGAAGGCAGCAUUCGAAAUCUGUCCAGGCAGUUCAAUCAAGCAGAGCUUGCAGGCUAGCAAAGGAAUUGCAGGAAACAAAGCCUUAAGGUAAAAAUGUGAACUGUAUUUGUAUAUAUUGGGUCUGCUAAUUCUGAAGGAAAAGUGGAGAAAGUACCCCAAGAUGUCUUCCUCAAGCUCUCGACCAACAAGUGGGGGAAAUGGAGGCAGAGGUCUUCGAUACUAGUACAAGGUAUGUAAUUGUCGAAGGAAGGCAAAGCUAAAGAUUGUUGAGUCGGAAAAGCCAUCGAAAGGAUUGUUAUAUUUUGUGUGUGAAAAAGAUGAAUGUUGGUUCUUUUCAUGGUGUAACCCAAUUUACAGAGACGAGCCAAAUCGAGAUGCACCUGUUCCCGUAGUGAGCCAACCUGUUGAAGAAAAUGCGUAUUUGGGUGGCGUGCUCUCGAAACUGGAAAAUUUGGACAAUGAAAUGAAGAAUUUGAAAUUGCUAGUUGGAGGUUGUGUUAUGGUAUCUAUCUUUUCUAUUUUACUGUUGUUGAUGUCUACCAGAUAAGAUAAUGGUAGGUUGUUGUUGAUGAUGUAGAUCUUCAUCUAUCAAAUUGCUAGUUGGUAGGCUGCUGGUGAUGUAUGGAGUUUUGUUGCAAUAAAAUUGAACAAAAUUGGUAAUCGACAUUUUGUAGUUUUGUUUUGGUAAUCUGCAUUUUGAAAACACCAAAAAAUGAACGAAAUAAACUAGUUGGAGUUUUGUUUGCACAUUAGUAGUCUUAACUCAACUAGCUGCAUUUCAGCAGGUAGUCUUAGCUCAACUAGUUAUGGAGUUUUGUUUGGUGUCUAUCCCAACCGAAUAAUGGUCAGAUUUGUUCUGGUGUUUCCACUACGGGUAAGAAAUAUACCUGCUAAAAAUUGGACAACAACCGAUACAGAAAACAAACAAAAGAAGAUUGGACAGCAAGUGAUAUAGAAGACAAACAAAAGAAGACAAAAUUGAAUCUAGUUGCCAGUUGCCAGUUGCCAUUCUACAUAACAUUCAUCUCAACUUGCCAAGAACAUAGAUUCAGAACUAUUUCCAGAACAAAGAGUGUAACUACAAAAUCUGUUUCCAGAUUAUUCAGUAACUACAAAAUUUGGUUGCCAUUUCAGGGAACCAAAAUCUGGUACCCAAGAACUUCAUUCAGUCACCACAAAAAUAGUAAAUACAUAAGCUAAGUGUAUGCAGAACAUAGAUUCCAUCACUGUUUCCAGAAUCAUUCAGUGACUACAAAAUCAGCUUGCUAUUUCACACAACCAAAAUCUGGUACUCAAGAACUUCAUGCAGUCACCACAAAGAGUGUAACUACAAAAUCUGUUUCCAGAUUAUUCAGUAACUACAAAAUUUGGUUGCCAUUUCAGGGAACCAAAAUCUGGCACUGUUGAACUUCAUUCAGUCACCACAAAAAUAGUAAAUACAUAAGCCAAAUGUAUGCAGAACAUAGAUUCCAUCACUGUUUCCAGAAUCAUUCAGUAACUACAAAAUCUGGUUGCCAUUUCACACAACCAAAAUCUGGUACCCAAGAACUUCAUCCAGUCACCACAAAAAUAGUAAAUACAUAAGCUAACUGUAUGCAGAUCAGUAGACAUUACAUUUUCAUCGACAACCAAUCAUUGUACAUUCCAGAUAGUUGCAGAUAUCAUUGCAACUGCAUGUAAUAUUCCAAAAUGAAGGUCUAACUACAGCUAGACAACUAUUAGGCAGGUAAUUAAGGUUGGAUAGCUUUUGAUCUCUUUGGCCUUAACUUGCGCAAGACAUCAGUAAUAGUUGGAGCUGUGGCUGUGGUUGCUGUUGCAGUGGUGGCAUCAGCACUGUUACUCCCACUCAUAUUCAUACCAUGCACAGGCUGCAAUUACAUAUAUAAAGAGAACUUAGAUGUAUAUCAGAACUCCAUUUGUUUUUAUGAAACUCAUUAAAUCAAUGUAAAAGCUUGGUUGAGUGUACACCUUCCUAGCCUGUUUGCUAGUCAUUGUGGUAUUUUGUGCAGUAGGAGCUCCUUUACUAGUUGACUGUGGUUGAGUGGACGACUCAGCAAUUGGUUCAGCUGCGCUUGCUUCAGGUGCCUAUAAGAAUGAUAUUUAACAUUAUUAAUACAUACAGAUGCUAUACAAAUGACAUUUAAGUGUACAAGGAAAAUUACCUUAUAAAAUUUGGAGUUAGGGUGAAUGGGAUUCUUGCACGUCCGUGAGUUAUGCCUUGGCUGAAAACAUCUCUUGCAAUGUACCACAAGCCCCUUUCUAGUUGAUACUUGACCCUUCUUAGGCUCAUCUUGUGCUCUCCGGCGUAGUUUCUUUGGUCUACCAGGCAUUCUCCUAACCGCAGGGGGGUUUAUGGACUCUUCUUCAGCUAUUAUCCAGUAAAUAUCACUUGGAACAGGUGUGAUAGUAUAUGCAUAUGUUUUCAGAUAUUCUGCUCUAGUGUAGCAAGCAUGCACAUAAUUUUUAAUAGGUAAUCUACACACUCCUAUCGCCGCACAUGCAUGGGCACAAGGAUAACCUGUUAAUUGAAAAUAUCCACAGGUACAUGUCCACUCACGCAAGUCUACUACCACACAUUUUCUCACACCACAGUCGACCUCAUACUUGUGACCAUCGUCCCAGGUCGCAACAAAUGUCCUACUCAACUUCUGAUUCUUGUCGAUCUUUUCUGCUAUAUUAGGACAGAUCUCUCCUUGAAACUUUUGCAUUCCAGAUCUCUUUGUUUGAAUUCUCUGCAUCAAUCUCCUCCUUAUCCAUUCAAGCAUCCCAAUGAUAGGUAACUCUCUUGUUUCUAAUAUAUAGUUGUUGAAUGACUCAUUUAGGUUGUUUACCAGAAUGUCACAUUUACUAUAACCUGUAAAAUGUGAUCUACUCCAAAGGGCUGGUGGAAUUUUGCUCAACCAUUCAGCAGCUUCUUUGUUUGUCUUUUCUAGUUCAAUCAUUGCCAUUUUCCAUUCCCUUUCAUUGCCAGCGCUUGCGGCAGCCCAAAACAUGUCUUUCAUUUCCUUUCCUUUGAACUUUUGGUUAAAAUUCUGGUACAUGUGCCUGAAGCAAAAUCUAUGCUCUGAAUUUGGAAACAGUUCAUUCACAGCAUGCACAAGCCCUUUCUGUCUAUCUGAGAUAAAGGUCCAAGGAAUGUUAUCUCUUCCCAUGCCCAAAUCAGCCAUUAGCAACUCCAAAAACCAUUUCUAGGAGUCAUACCGCUCUACCUCUACCACUGCAAAUGCUAUUGGAACCAUGUUGUCAUUGCCAUCUCUGCCAAGUGCGGAUAAUAAUUGUCCACCAAAUGCUGUCUUAAGGAAACAACCAUCUAGACCAAUUAUUGGUCUACAACCAUCAAGAAAACCCUUCUUACAGGCAUAUAAGCAAUAAUAUAACCUUUGAAAUGUACCCCUUGAACCAUCAGGAGGCUUGUCAAUCUGCAUUUUUACAGUACUUCCAGCAUUUGUGUCUCGGACUGUGGCUGUAUAACUCCAGAGUUUUUGAUACUGCUCCAUGUCCGUGCCUAGCAUCAUAUCCUUUGCCUUACGUUUAGCUCUACCAACCUUAGCAAUUAACACAUUAAUCAUUAAAUCUCUUCUGAUGUCAUUCUUCAACCCCAUCAAAUCAACUUUUGGAUUAUCCCUGAUCUUCUCUUGAUAUUUGUUGCUCAGAUAUGAGGCUAUUGCAUGCUUAUUUUGAUAUUCUCGAGCACAUACAUGCUCAUCCUUCAGUGACUUUAUUUGGAAGAUCGAUUCAUUUUGAAUUGGUGUUGCCCGAAUCCUCCAACUACAACCUUUUGCACAGAUGGCAAUAAUUUUUUUGGAGUAGUUUUUCACCCAAGUAACUUCAUAACCCUCUCUUACUAGCCAUUCACACAACACAGAUCUAAACACUCUAAAAUUAGUAAACUUCUGCCCCACUUUCAACUCAAAGUGUGGCUUCCCAAACUCAACUUCAGGAUUGAAGUCAAGGCAGUAAUCUUCUUCUCCACUACCAGAUCUAAAUUUGUCCAGCAAAUCUUCAUUUGGAACCACAGGUUCUUGCCAAUCCUCUUCAGUCACCUCAGUAUUCCCUACCCUUUCAUCUUCUUCUCUCAAAUCUGAUUCUCUAAAUGUUGCAGAAGAUUUUUUGAUGUUUGCAGCUUCAUCUUCUAAUGGCCCUUGAGAUGAUACAAGUCCUUUUUCAAUGCUUACAUCUUCAGCAUCUGAUGGCCUUUGAGAUGAAACAGGGGGUCAAUUUGCCGAAUCACAUCUGGCCCUCUAGAUUGUGAAGUUUUGCUGGCCCUUUUCUUUCUCACAGAACCCCUUUUAGGAGAACUUUUUUCAUCUGUCUUUCCACCAAAUGAGAAUAUAUGCACUGGCAAUUUUUUUAUGUCUCCAUCUGCCCUUGCCCCACCUUUUUUGUUAUAGUUGCUGGGUCCAGCAGUAUCUUUCUUGGGGCUAAAGAUGUCUUCAUCUUCUAUUGUUUCCAACCCAUCUUUUAACCAUUCUGGCUCUUCAUCAUCUUCACAUGCACCUGUCCCCGUAGUGUUAGUGACCCCACUAUUUUCAUGUCCAUAGGUUGUAUCAGGGCCUUCAUUUUUUAUUCCAUUACUGACCCCACCAUCUUCUGGCUCCUUUUCAAAUGGCUCAUCCCCACUACAAGCAUAAAUUAGCCUUUCCAUUGGCAAGUUCCAGUAGCACUGCUUCAUUAAAUUAAUAUCAUUAUUGUCCCUAAUUGGGUGUAGAGCACCUUCUAAAUCAACAUCUGGGACACAAAACCAAAACGUUACUUUAUUUGCUCUUUCAUCUACUUUUUUAAACAUUCUGCACAGGCUCACUAUCGACAACUGAUCUUCAAUUCUGUCUUUGAAAAUAGCCAUGUGGGUUCCUGUGUAGUGGAGCCUUGGUUUUUCUCUAAAUCUCCCACCAAAAUGCAUGUGUAUCUCAACUUUGUCCUUGGAUUUCUCCUCUGUGAUACCAUGACAAGCAAUAAAGUUCUCAGAGUCUUUCACAAGUAUACAAAAAACUAACAUAAUACAAUCAGAACAAACAAUUGGGGACCACAUUGGACCACAACAUGUCUCGAUAUAAGCCAUAUUAAGAUAAUGACAGAUUACAGAAACUGGCAUGCUUGACUAAUCAUGGCAUUUAACAGUAGUAAUUGAUCAAUAGAAGUAAUACUGCACUUUGAUAGUAUAACUUCAAGCCAAAAAGACGGACUGUCAGACUCAACAAUUGAGUCUGACCAAAAACAAGGGAUAACCAGAUUAGGACCUGAAACACGUAGCCUUAUCAUCCCAAACAACUGAGGCAUUGGAACCAAAGCUGCUAAACGCGUUUUUGGAGGGACCUCUUCUAUAAAGCUGUCUCUUUUUAAGCUUUCAAAAAUUAUCAAAACUUUACCAAUUUGAAAGGAACGCUUAAACUAUCUAUCUAUGCAACUAGGUUUGCUGGGCAUACGUCAAAAACCUUUAUCUUCAUUAACAACAUUCGUAAAUACAUCAAAAAAGCUAUCUUUGUUAAAUAAUGCCUCCCAAUUUAAUCUGAAAUCAGUAAAUAACAAUUUUUCUUGUACAACAUACCCCAAAACCCGAAUCGAAAUAGAUGAGAGAUGAUAUACUAACCCAUUUUUCUUCGAUUUUUUACCGCAAAUCUUCACUUCCUCGUAUUCUCCAUCGAUCUUGAUAUUUGAUUGAAAUAACAAUCGAAAUUUUUGCUGAAAAUUGGCUACAAAAGGGGCUGCUCUAUCUCUCUCUAGGGUUUCCUAUUUCUUUCUCUCUCUCUUCGUUGGUUUCGAUAGAACGAAAGUGCAAAAUUACUUCUGCAAUUUUCGCUUAUAUCAAAAGGGUAUUUUCGUCUAUUCACUCAGUUUCGUCUGUUUUGCCGAUUUCCGUCCACUUUUCAAGUUAAUUCAAAUCACGGGGUAUCGACUGGUAUGAUAUGAAAUCACAGGGGGCUUUUAUGUAUGAUUGCUUAACCACAAGGGGCUUUUUUGUUGUUUACCCAAAGAAUAAUUAUAAUGAUGCUGAUGAUGCUGAUAUGACACACCUCGAUGUAGCUGAUUUUUUUGAGCAUCCUGAAAAUGUCAACAAAUAUCUCAUGAUUAUUUAGAUAUUUUUAUGAUGUUUUAUAUCUUUUAUGUAAUUUUUUUUCAUUGAAUAUUUAUUUUUGUUUGAAAUUUUCUUCCUGAAUAAGAAAUUGAUGUCAAAUAUUUGGGAUUAAAUAAUGGUGAUGAUGAUAUUUGUCUCAUUGAUAGUGCUACUACGCACACCAUAUUGAAAAAUAAAAAAUAUUUUUCUUGUUUGAAAAUGGGAGAAACAAAUGUUAAUACCAUUAGUGGUAGUGCAAAAUUGAUUGAAGACUCCGGAAGAGCCACUUUAUUUUUCUCUUAAGGGACUAAAAUUAUUGUAAAUAAUGCACUAUUCUCUCCCAAGUCUCGGAAAAACUUAUUAAGCUUUAAAGAUAUUUGCGAAAAUGGAUAUCAUAUCGAGACAAUGAUUGAGACAAAUGGUGAAUUUUUAUUAAUCACAAAUAUCAUUUCUGGAAAAAAAUACGUAGUAGAAAAAUUAUCUUCUUUUUCUUCUGGCUUAUAUUAUGCACAAAUUAAUGCAAUUGAAAUUCAUCACCUAGUAGACCAGAAGUCUACUCAUCCUAAUGAUUUUAUAAUUUGGCAUGAUCGUCUCGGACAUCCUGGAUCUAUAAUGAUGAGACGAAUAAUCGAGAAUUCACAUGGCCACUCAUUGAAAAAUCAAAAGAUAUUAAAAGCAAAUGAAUUCUCCUGUGUUGCUUGCUCUCAAGGAAAAUUAAUUAUUAGACCAUCACAAGUUAAAGUUGAGAUUGAAUCCCCUACAUUUCUAGAACGAAUUCAUGGUGAUAUAUGUAGACCUGUAGAUCCACCAUGUGGACUAUUUCGAUAUUUUAUUGUGCUAAUUGAUGUAUCAACUAGAUGGUCACAUGUAUAUUUAUUAUCUACUCGCAAUCUGGCGUUUGCGAGAUUGCUUGUUGACAGGGUGUCGAAACCUGUACAAUAAUAAAAUUAAACCUAAUUGCCAGUUAAAAUGACCAAACUCAAUUCCAAGUACUAGAGCAGGGACUUUAGGUGUGCAAUGGAUUACUUGAUUCACCCUGUUCCCGAAGAGUUUGCUUGGUCCGAUAUACCCGAAUGGAAUGGUUAUUUCUUUUCACAAAUAAUUAUGAAUUCGUAGACAUGGCAAGUAGGGUCGUAUCCACUGGGAUUGGGUAUACUUGUUUCUUAAGAAAUUCAAAACAACACAGGGGGUGAUUUUGUAGGAAUGAUAACAAUCAAAUAAAUUCAAAUAAGAAAAUAAAAAUGAAAAUAAAUAACUGACUAGAAAUUAAACAAUAAUUCACUGAACUCAGAGUAACAAUAAUUAAAGGCCCAAAUCAAUUAAAACAAGGAAGCACUUAAAAAUAAAAUAAAGUAGGCAACUAAAAGUCAAAUGGCAAUUCACCAAAAUUAAGAUAAUAUUAAUUAAAAGUCUAGCCAAGAAAUGACUUCAGCAAUGGUUCACCUAAUUGAUCAUCGAAGCAAAGGCAAUCCCAAUUGUUUAUCAAUAAAUAGGUUAUAACUACCAAACAAGCGAUAGCAGUCAACUCCUCCUUACUGUGUCGAUGAUUAAGGUACGCCCGUUAAUCACUGCUCUAAUUAAGGAAUAAUUCUAGGUACGUCCGUAAGAUUUAAUUCCCCAAUUGCCUUACAUAUUAGAGGAGCCCUAUUCUAACCAAAUAACGGACUACCAGGGUUAUUUUAGAUUAGCCGUCGUAUCCCCCUGACACGAAUCUAAUCGUGCCAGUUGUCACUAUUUCAGGACAAUUACGGAUUUAAUGCUUUAAUUGACAGUAGGUUACCAAAUCAAUUAAUUAUCCGGAUCCAAAAUAAUCAAUUAAUUAAAUAAUCAUAAGCAUAGCAAACAAGGAAUAAGUGGAUAUCAAUAAAUAAAAGGGAAAGAUUAAAUUAAAACGAUCUUACAAUUUUUAGGCUACCCAAAACAUCCGUCGUCUCUUGACUAGAAUGAGAAAAUUAGUUCAUAUUUGAUGAACUAAGUCCGCGGGAAAUUUCAGCAAAAGUCACGGCCAUUGUCUGCAUUUCAGGAAGCCACAAUUCGUCAAACAAUUGAAAGGCGAAUGAAAGUUACAGGUAACAAUUGAGUCUCUUAAUUGUUUCUAGCAUCCGUAGAGCAAAGCUACUCAAAAGGUACAAGGAGAAAAAGUCAAAGUAGAUAGCCUCCAAUUCUCCUGACAUGCGUGAGAACAAACAAAAAGGAAUUCUAAAGGAAGAAGCUAAUGAAAUGCUAAGCUAGUCCUCAUUGUCUUUCUCCCAGCCGUGGAGAAUGCCUACAAAAGGCUCAGAGGAAAAAGUCAAAAAGUGCGGCUCUCCAGCCCCUGCUCUCUUCCUUCUCUUUUUUUUCUCCUAAUUCCCCGCAGCACCUCAGCAAAAUGAAGCCCUUCCGGCCGUCAUUCCCUUGCGGAAUUUACCAAAAUAGACGUAACAUCUUCUUUUCCAAAAAUAUCCCUGGGUCAAUCUCUAUCAUCGGGACUCUUUUUCUGCCAAAUGUGUACCUGUCAUCAUAUUUUCGUUCUACUCCCUGAAAUAAGUGCAAAUUACGAAAAGUAAAUAGAAUCUACUAAUUAAUCCACAUCAGGUCAGGUAAUAGGGAAAAUUAAUAAUAAAAUAAAUAGAUAAAUUGCAACCUAUCAAUUCCCCCCACACCUAAACCAUGCUUGCCCUCAAGCAUAAGAAAAGUGUACAGACACCAAAAUUUGAUAAUGGUCAUCACUCUAUUCUACCAACUUGCCAAGAUAUCAAGAAAAACCAUAUAUCGAGUACUAGUGAUCAAAAUCUGAGGAGCAUCCCCCCAGUUAGCCUCUAAACUGCAAAUUUCUUCAAUUUCCAAAUUAGCUAAUCUAAGAAGAAAGAAUGACGUAUAACACUUAUCAGCAAACAAUUCAAAUAUUAACCAAAGCCUCCAUAUUCAGUCCAUAAAUGGGCAAGCUGACCUCUAACAUAUUACACAACCUGCACUUUUCUGUUUUUUUUUUCACUUUUUUCAUUUCCAAUAAUAAUAACAAUACACAAAAGACUUAGUCUCUAGCCAUUGGAGCCUUUUGACGCGAACUCCAAUAUUUUUAAAUGAAGGAGCCCGGUUACUCAGCUCUCACCGCUAUACGACCACGUACUCAUAAAAAGUACCACCUUUUGACGCGAGAAUCAACACUUUUAGGUGCAGAUUCCCGAUUACUCAGUAGCAACUAUUAGCGGAGUACAGUCAAACUUAUUCACAGCCAAAUAAUGCAAAAACGCAAGAUAACAACACUAAUAACCACGCAUAGGAGCAGCUCACCUCAUUAUUGCCAAACAUGGAGAACUGGAGUCAAUAUUGGACCAGUUCACAUUAAAAUGCCAACAGCCAUUCCCUAUGCCUAGAAAAGUUAACAAAGAAAUCAAAAGAGUCAAACAGUCCGAUAUUCACCAAGGAGAUAUCUUGGACCCAACCACAUUAAUCCGAUACAUUUUUAUUUUAAAAACUUGGCAAAAAUAGAAUUAGAGGCAAUGAACCAACAUCCAUUUUUUUUAAAAAAAAAUUUUUCACAUGAGGGAUAAGCACCAAGAAAAGAAAGUAAGCAAAUGAGCAACUAGAAAUAAAACUAAAAACUACUAAUAACUAGAAAAUACUAGCACCCCAUUAGACCUCUCCCACACCUAUAGGACACAUUGUCCUCAAUGGGUCAAAUAAACAGCACAAGUAAGAGAGAAAGCAACCAAACUUCCCUGAAACCGGGUCAAAGAGGUGGGCGAGGUGGAAAUGGAGCAGCGAAACCCGUGUGAAAUAAAAACUGCACCAAAUUCUAUGCCAUGCCUGCGACAUUGGCGUCAACGUUGACCAUUCGAGCCUCCAAAGCCCGAACCUGCUCCCGGAGUUGCUGCUAUUCAGUCGUCCCAUGUGGUGGAGAUGACGCAGAAGAUGAAGGCCCAGCUGUGUCCUCGACUGACUCAUGAAAUGAAGAGGACCCUGCUCGGGUCGAAGGGUGCACCCCUGGAGCUCGAACUGGUCCCGGAGAGGUAAACUGGUAAGAACCAUCGGGUAGGCGCUCGACGACUUCCAUUUUCUCUAAGUAGUCCACGCCCAGGAGCUCCAUCUCGAAUGCCAAAUGUAGGUCGUGGUUCUCCAGGUUAAGAACUCCCAACUGUGUUGCCAAGUGUGUGAUAUAGGACCCAAGGAUCAGGGGUUUGUUCUUUUUGGCUAAGACGGUCUUGAACUGUGCCGCAAACCAACAACCCAAGUUGACUUUGUUGUUAUUCUUCAUAUUCCAGAUAAAGAAAAACUCGGGUCGAGAGAGAAUACCGGAGCUGUCCUUGCGACCGGAGUAGCUGUAGUCUAAGAAUCGCUGAACGUAUCGGGCGCUAGGGUCCUUAAGAAAGGAGCUCCUAGACCUAGAAGGGUCGUAGCGGUGCCGAUCGGUAGACAUGUCUUCCCACAUAGUGCGGUAGCGGGAGAGAAAAGGCUCUAUGUAAUCACAGGCACUUUCACCAUACUCUCUAGUCUCAGCAUACUCCCGAGUAAUAAAUCCAAAUGCCAUAUUAAAUUGGGUAAUCGAAAAAUUAAAUUUCCGACCCAUCAGACGGAAGCGGAUGACAUUGGGUGUCACAAGGGUGUACCUCGUGGGCAACUCAAACUCAAAGGUAGAAUAAAACUCCCGAGUGAGCUCGACAAAGGCGGGGCAGAAGAUAUAGAGAUACGGGCGCCACCCGAUGGCUGUAAACAUCUGCUCGACUUCCUCUCGUAUGCCUAGACCCAUCAUAACUAGUUUACUACAAGAUUUACAAGGUAUGAUACGCCGCUCACAGACCUUAGCAUAUCUCUGCUGAUCGGCGGGUCUAGUGAAGGUUAGGUGCCCUCCAAAGUGAGUUGGGGUAUCUACCUGGGCACCCCUGCCCCUACUCAAGCGGGUUCGGACAUUAGAAGAGAAGGGUAGAUUGGUAGGUGUAUUCACAGGAAUAGAUGCAUGUGGAGGGGUUGAGAACGAGGGGCCCUAGACCUAGAGGAUGAUUUAGGUCUCACCAUGUCUCCCAACAGUCAGCUCAAAGUAACAGAAGAUCCAACAGGUAUAGAAACUAGCAAAAGCAACUAGCAAAAGAAGCUCAACAAAAACAAAGCAAAAAUCUCCCAGUAGUAACCCAAUCAAUAACAAACAAAAGAGUUCCAGCAAGUAAAAAUGCCCAAUGUCCCAUAGAAGACGAACAAACUGUUAUGAGUUCAAUGACUAUAGCAAUGAAAGUAACCCCAGCAAGUAUGCCAGUCCACAGAAGUCAAUAUGUAGCCCGAUAUAGUAAGGCCUUCCCAAUCAGCAAUUCAACAAGUAAUUAAACCGAAUAUUACCAAUCUCAACAAGUACUUCACGCGGCCAGUCUCUCUAAUUCAACAAGCAAUUUCAGAAAUAACUCAACCAAAAUCCCAAAAGAAGCCUCAGCGAGUCUUCCAGCAAUUCAAGCAGAAUAGUGCCCAACAAUUCACUACGAGUCAACCAAUUUUCACAAGCAAAAUGAGGUUCAAAAUUUCCUCCAAAGUUAGCAAACAACCACUGCAAUUCAGCUCACCCAAAGUCCCAACAAAUGGCUCCAGUUGGCCAAUUAAUGCCUUAACUCAGAAUUAGCAAUUUCAACAAUGAUAGCUUAGAUAUUUGACAAUAAUAACUUAGCCAACCAAAAUCGUAGCAAAAAUUCCACAAAAUCAACAAUUCAGGCAAUAACAAUUCAGACUCGGACAGUGACAAAGGAAUUCCAAACCUUCAGCUUCCUAUUAACCAGCCAAUAAGAGAGGAAGGAUCAAAUGUAGUCCAAAUACCCAAACAAGGCAAUGACUGGACUCAACAGGCAGCGCACAACCAAUACAGCUCAACAGACCUAAGCCAAUAGAACUCAAACCCACCCAAAAGUGCGACUAAAAUAUGCAAGAAAAUGGCCAACCAGUAAUCAACAAAGUCAGGGCAAAUAACACAAUCAGUACCACUGGUUGACCACACAAUUGAAGAAAUAACUCCCACGGCCACCAAUACCAAUUGUGGAGGGGCUCAAACAGCACCAAACAAUAUUAGAAAUCGGGGGAUAAAUUCCAAAUACCUCCACCAGGACCACGUCGGGCGGCGGACAGAGCAGCGAGCAGAGGUCAGCUUGCUUCUGUGGCUUCGGGAGGCAGCGGCGGCGUGGGGCUGGUCGGCUUGCUGGAGGCACGAGGAGAGAGAAACGAUGGACAGCAGCCCGCAACCCCCAGUUGGAGAGUGGCGGCGACGGUCGUCCGACUGCAAGCGACGUGUGCCCGGUCACUCGCGGCUGGGGAAACGAGGCGCGCUGUUGCAGCUCGCGGCGAAGAUGGUGGCGGCGCGAGGUAGAAGAGCGGCGUGCGCAGGUGGGGGGAAGGAAAGAAAAGGCGAAUAGGGGAGCGGCGGCGCUGUAAAGUGGGUCGCUGCUAAGAGAGGGAUAGCUCGCGCGAGGGAGGUGCGUAGGGCAGCGGCAGCGUGCGGGGCUGAACAGCGGCGGCGCGCAGCGGGCGGCUCACGGGUGUCGGCGUGCGCAGGGCGAAACAGAAGAGAAGAAAGAAAGAAAAGAGAAAGAAAGAAGAAGAAGGAAAGAAAAAGAAAGAAAAGAAGGAAAAAAGAAAAAAGAAAAAAGAAAAAAAAAAUUUUAGGCUCCAUAUGCGCUACGAUGAGAAAUAUUUUCUCUUUUUUUUUGUUUUAUUUUUUUUAUGAAAAUUAAUAAAAAUUUUUUUUGAAUCCUUACCUUUCCCGCGAACGUGACGCUGGCACGUCAAAAGGCAAGAAUCCCUUUUGACGAUUCUGAUCGUGAGUUUUCUGUUCAUCACGACGCAGGCACGCCGAGUCAGACAGACACCUACAACUUAUCAAAAACGAAAAUUUCAAACCCGAAACCAAUCAAACUCAAGGAAAACAAAGUGAAACUAUCACACAAAGCCAAACAAACGAUUAAAAGAGAUUGGGUUGCCUCCCAAUGAACGCAUUUCUUUAAUGUCUUUGGUUAGACAUGGUAAAGUGUCACUAAUUAGGACACGGUGGUGUGUCUAGACUUACUGUCUCAACCUCUCCACUUAAGAAACCUUCGUAAUAAUACUUGAGGCGGUGUCCGUUCACCACAAACUUGUUGUCUGUCUUAGCACUCCGGAUUUCAACUACACCAUAUGGAAACACGUGAGUGACAAUAAAAGGUCAAAUCCAACGGAAACGUAACUUACCUGGGAAUAGCUUGAGCCUGGAUUGGUAUAGGAGGACCUUCUGACCAACUUCAAAGGUUUUUCUAGAAAUUUGUUGAUCAUGAAAUGUCCGGUUUCUCUCCUUAUAAAUCAGUGCAUUUUCGUAGGUUUCGUUCUGAAUCUCCUCCAAUUCUUGCAAAUCCAACUUCCGUUGGGCACCGGCCUCCUCUAAACUCAUGUUGCAUUACUUUAUCGCAUAAAAAGCUCUGUACUCGAACUCCACUGGAAGGUGACACGGCUUCCCAAAUACCAACCUGUACGGUGACAUCCCUAUAGGAGUCUUGUACGCAAUCCGAUAGGCCCAGAGUGUGUCAUCCAACCGUUGACUCCAAUAUUUCCUAUCGGGGCGCACCAUUUUCUCCAAAAUGGACUUAAUCUCCCGGUUCGAUACCUCCGCUUGACCAUUGGUCUGAGGGUGAUAUGACGUUGAGACCCUGUGGAGUACACCAUACUUGCGAAACAACGCAGCUAUGGUUCUGUUGCAGAAGUGCGUUCCCCUAUCACUGACAAUAGCUCUUGGCAUUUCAAAUCGCACAAAAAUAUUAGACCUGAAAAAAUCUGCAACUACUUUUGAGUCAUUAGUCUGAGUGGCCUUAGCCUCCACCCAUUUAGACACAUAAUCAACUGCCAGCAAAAUAUAUAGAAAACCAAAUAAAGUAGGAAAAGGCCCCAUGAAAUCUAUACCCCAAACAUCAAAAAUUUCAAUAAAAAUCAACGAGACCUGGAGCAUAUGAUCUCCACGGGCUAUAUUACUUACCCUUUGACAACGAUCACUUGACUUACAGAACACAUAAGCAUCCUUAAAUAAUGAAGGCCAAUAAAAUCCACUCUCUAAAAUCUUAUGAGCAGUUCUCUUGAGUCCAAAAUGACAUCCACAGGCAAAAGUAUGACAAAAAGCUAAAAUCGAUUGAAAUUCCACUUCACUUACAGAUCUCCUCAUCACUUGACCUGCACAUCUCUUCCAUAAGUACGGGUCAUCCCAGAUGAAAUAUUUGGCAUCACUCUUCAAUUUAUCCCUCUUCGAUUUCGGCCAACCUGCAGGAAAAUUACCCGUUACUAGAUAAUUGACCAAAUCAGCAUACCAAGGCAAUUGAGAAUUUAAGAAAAAUAAAUGCUCUUCAGGGAAUGCAUCCUUCAAUGGCUCGUCCUUUUCCCCAACUGGUAUGCGACUCAAAUAGUCUGCUUCUAGAUUUUCUGAGCCUUUUUUAUCCCUUAUCUCUAGGUCAAAUUCCUGUAGUAGCAAUAUCCACCUGAUAAGCCUCGGUUUGGCAUCCUUCUUGGUCAUUAGGUACCUUAAUGCUGCAUGAUCAGAAAAUACAAUUACUUUAGCACCUAACAAAUAUGAUCUGAAUUUUUCUAAAACAAAAAUAACCGCAAGAAACUCCUUCUCAGUGGUGGAGUAAUUCAACUGUGCCCCAUUCAAAACCCGGAAUGCAUAAUAGAUGACAUGAGCCACCUUUCCUACUCUUUGCCCCAGUACAGCCCCAACAGCAUGAUCACUGGCAUCGCACAUGAUCUCAAAUGGCAAACUCCAAUCGGGGGGCUGGAUGAUCGAGGGCGAGGUAAGUAGCUCUUUCAACUUGUUGAAAACUUUCUCACACUUGUCAUCGAACUCAAAGGUCACAUCUUUUUGUAAGAGUUGGAAUAACGGGGCCCCAAUUUUUGAAAAAUUCUUGAUGAACCUUCGAUAAAAACCUGCAUGUCCAAUAAAAGAACGCAUUUCCAGCACAUUCGCGGGACAAGGUAAUGCAGAUAUAAUGUCUAUUUUAGCCUUGUCAACCUCAAUGCCCUUAGACGACACAAUAUGACCUAGGACUAUCCCGUGCUCAACCAUAAAAUGACAUUUUUCCCAAUUAAGCAUGAGAUCAGUCUCUAUACACCUUAUCAGGAUCAAUUUCAAGUUAUCUAGACACGUAUCAAAAUUAUCACCAUACACACUGAAAUCAUCCAUGAAAAUCUCAAUUAUUUUCUCAACAUACUCAGAAAAGAUGCUUACCAUACACCUUUGGAAUGUUGCAGGUGCAUUGCAUAACUCAAAUGGCAUUCGUCUAUAGGCAAAGGUCCCGAACGGGCACGUGAAGGUUGUCUUCUCUUAAUCCUCUGGUGCAAUUGCUAUCUGAAAAUAUCCUGAAAAUCCAUCCAAAAAGCAAUAGUAAGCUCUACAAGCUAAACGUUUAACCAUUUGGUCAAUGAAAGGGAGAGGGAAAUGGUCCUUUUUGGUGAUGGCGUUCAGCCUACGGUAGUCAAUACACUGCCUCCAUCCAGUGGAUUUCCGCACUGGCACGAGCUCACCCGUUUGGUUAGCCUCUACCGUCACUCCUGCCUUCUUUGGGACAAUCUGGACUGGACUCACCCAAGAGUUAUCUGAUAUUGCAAAAAUAAUUCUCACAUCUAGCAAUUUCAAAAUUUCUUUCUUUACCACUUCCAUCAUGAGGGGGUUGAGCCUCCUUUGAGCCUACCGAACAGGUUUAGCAUCCUCUUCCAGCCUAAUCCGAUGCAUACAGAUGGCUGGGCUGAUCCCCUUAAUGUCUGCGAUUGUCCAACCUAUCGCCUCUUUAUGCUCUCGAAGGACUCGGAUCAGUUUCUCCUCCUAGAUUUUUGAAAAUGCCGAUGAGAUAAUCACUGGGAGUGUCUCAUUGUCACCCAAAUACGCAUACUUCAGGUGCUCUGUUAGGGGUUUUAACUCCAAUUCAGGUGCAUGCACCACAGAUGGCAAUACCCUCUGGUAAAAUUCGGGAAUAAAGAUAGGUAGGAUUUCAUACCUUUUUGUGGUGGUCGGCAAUGAGUGUAAUGCACCUAUUGUGUAUUUUAGAUUCUCGCUCCAUUCCACCUCAGGAGUUGUCCCCAACUCGAGGUACUUCGUUAAAGCCACCUCCAACUCAUCCCUGCCAACAGUUUCGAACACUUCCUACACCGCAGGGUCAAUAGCACUCACAGAUAAAACUGAGCUAAAUUUGGAGAUCGAGUGAUAUUUCAUAGUAUCAAAAAUAUUAAAAUGCACAAUUUUCCCAUCAAAUUUCAUGGAUAAGGUACCCUUAUUAACAUCAAUUUUUGUUUGUACUGUGCUCAUAAAGGGUCUACUCAAUAACAAAGGUGAGGGAUCGGGGGAGUGAUCAUCAUCCAUAUCAAGUACAUAAAAAUCAGUUGGAAACACCAAAUCAUUAACUUUCACCAACACAUCUUUAACCAACCCAUCAGGAUAUGCAUUAGUUCGGUCAGUUAAUUGAAUGUUAUUCCAGUUUCUUUUAAUAGACCUAGUUUCAGAGAAGCAUAGAUAGAUUUAGGCAUGACAUUAAUUGAUACUCCCAGAUCCAACAUGGCCAUUCUAAUCACAGUGUUGCCUAUCCUACAGGGGAUAGUAAACAUACCUGGGUCCCCACACUUUGGUGGAAGCUUUCUCUGCAGGACCGCUGACACAUUCUCCCCAACAAUGACCCUUUCAUCUCCCUCAAUCGCCUUCGGUUGACACACAAGUCCCUUAGGAACUUGGCAUAUUUUGGUACUUGUUUGAUGGCGUCUAAGAGGGAGAUAUUUAUCUCCACCUUGCGAAACACCUCCAAGAUCUCCUACUCUUUAUCCUGUUUCUUCGAUUUUUUCAACCUGCUAGGAAAAGGAGGCGGGUUAGUUUUAACUGUAAUUAUUGGGUUUGGAAGUACCUUUGGAUCUGCACCAUUGCUGUCCUCCCUCUCAAACUCAUUUUCGAUCUUUUUCUCAUCCUUAUCCUUAGGGAUCACAGGUUCAGGCCCCUGAAUUUCCUUGCCACUCCUCAAGGUCAUGGCGCUCACAUUCUCCGAGUUCAACUCAGGCUGAGACGGCAAUUUAUCCUGGUUUUGGGACUCCAAACGGUUGAUUGAUGUGGUCAUUUGACUCAUCUGAGUCCUUAUGUCCUGCAUUUCGGAAUCCGUCCUUUGCUGAUUUUGCGUAAUAGUUGCCAUCAGCUGUUUCAUCAUCUCCUCCAAAGAUGGACCAGAACUUGGGGGCGGAGUGGUCGGGGCUGGUAUUGUUGCUGGUACCCUAGUUGCUUAUUUGGCACGAAAUUAGACUGCCUGUUCGGUGCAAAGUUGGGCUGCCUAUUUCCUCCAUAGCUGAAAUUCAGGUGAUCCUUUCAGCCGGGAUUGUAGGUACUUGAAUCGGGGUCAUAGGGCCUUCGUGGCGCGGGCGCGUGACCAGCCAUGUUCACUUGCUCUGCACUUUCUUCCUGGAGCAUUGGGCACAUGUCUGUAGGAUGACCCAUACCCGUGCAUACCCCGCACACCUUGGCCUGAGAUGCACUUCCUACAGCAAGUUGCCUAACAAAAGAAGUCAAUUCAGUCAACUGCUGCUGGAUAGAGGAUGUCUCUACCUCGUUCACUUUGCGUACCGGGACAUCCUCCCUUGUACCAAAUUGCAGCGAAUUCUCUGUCAUCCCCUCUAUUAACUCCCUUGCUUCCCGAGGGGUUUUGUUCACCAGUGCCUCUCCGCUUGCAACAUCAAUUAUACUCCUAUCUCUGAAAAGGAGCCUCUCAUAAAAAUACAAUAUGAGCAACUGCUCACUUAUCUGGUGCUGGGGGCACUUGUUGCACAACUUCUUGAACCGCUCCCAGUACUCAUAGAGUGACUCCCCUGGGUGCUGAUUGAUCCCUCAAAUUUCUUUCCUUAAAAUUGCAACCCUGGAUGCAGGAAAAUAUUUUUCUAGAAAUUUUUUCUGCAACUGGUCCCACGUGGUAAUGCUACCUGGUGGCAGGUAGUAUAGUCAGUCCUUUGCAGAGUCUUUCAAUGAGAAAGGGAAUGCCCGCAUUUUUAUUUGCUCUUCUGUGAUUCUCGGGGGUUUCAUACUAUUGCACAUAAUAUCAAACUCCUGCAGAUGCUUAUACGGCUCCUCACCUGGUAAACCAUGAAAAGAAGGUAAAAGAUGAAUAAGGCCAUAUUUUAAUUCAAAUGGAGUGCUAUUAUCUAAAUUUGGGAAAGCAAUACACAAAGGCUGCUGAUUUAAGUUAAGAGCAGCCAACUCCCUUAAUGUUCGUGCAUUAGCCAUGGUGCCUUCCUCCUGGUCAGAGUCACUCGAAGUGUUACCAAACGAGUCUGUUGGUUCAACUUCUGACUCAGGUCCCUGAGAUGCAGCACUGGAGUGCUCAUCUCUGAGAUGUUUGGUUUCCUUCCUUGUUCUACGCGCGGUCUUCUCUACUUCAGGGUCAAAAACCAAAUCACCUGUACGAGAAAACCGAGGCAUACACUAGAAAAAAAAAUACUAGAAAAUUAGAAUAAAAAAUGAGUUUAAAAAGAAACAAAUAAUAACGCCAGUCCCCGGCAACGGCGUCAAAAAUUGACAGGGUGUCGAAACCUGUACAAUAAUAAAAUUAAACCUAAUUAUCAGUUGAAAUGACCAAACCCAAUUCCAAGUAUUGGAGCAGGGACUCUAGGUGUGCAAUGGGUUACUUGAUUCACCCUAUUCCCGAAGAGUUUGCUUGAUCCGAUAUACCUGAAUGGAAUGGUUAUUUCUUUUCACAAAUAAUUAUGAAUUCGUAGACAGGGCAAGUACGGUCGUAUCCACUGGGACUGGGUAUACUUGUUUCUUAAGAAAUUCAAAGCAACACAGGGGGUGAUUUUGUAGGAAUGAUAACAAUCAAAUAAAUUCAAAUAAGAAAAUAAAAAUGAAAAUAAAUAACUGACUAGAAAUUAAACAAUAAUUCACUGAACUCAGAGUAACAAUAAUUAAAGACCCAAAUCAAUUAAAACAAGGAAGCACUUAAAAAUAAAAUAAAGUAGGCAACUAAAAGUCAAAUGGCAAUUCACCAAAAUUAAGGUAAUAUUAAUUAAAAGUCUAGCCAAGAAAUGACUUUAGCAAUGGUUCACCUAAUUGAUCAUCGAAACAAAGGCAAUCCCAAUUGUUUAUCAAUAAAUAGGUUAUAAUUACCAAACAAGCGAUAGCAGUCAACCCCUCCUUACUGUGUCGAUGAUUAAGGUACGCCCGUUAAUCACUGCUCUAAUUAAGGAAUAAUUCUAGGUACGCCCGUAAGAUUUAAUUCUCCAAUUGCCUUGCGUAUUAGAGGAGCCCUAUUCUAAUCAAAUAACGCACUACCAGGGUUAUUUUAGAUUAGCCCGCGUAUCCCCCUGACACGAAUCUAAUCGUGCCAGUUGUCACUAUUUCAGGACAAUUAAACAAUUACGGAUUUAAUGUCUUAAUUGACAGUAGGUUACCAAAUCAAUUAAUUAUCUGGAUCCAAGACAAUCAAUUAAUUAAAUAACCAUAAGCAUAGCAAACAAGAAAUAUGAAAGGCGAAUGAAAGUUACAGGUAACAAUUGAGUCUCUUAAUUGUUUCUAGCAUCCGUAGAGCAAAGCUACUCAAAAGGUACAAGGAGGAAAGUCAAAGUAGAUAGCCUCCAAUUCUCCUGACAUGCGUGAGAACAAGCAAAAAGGAAUUCUAAAGGAAGUAGCUAAUGAAAUGCUAAGCUAGUCCUCAUUGAGUUUGUUUGGAUAAGAGUUUAUUUGGAUGAUUUAUUUGAGAUAUUUACUGUAGCACUUUUUGUGAUAUGAUGUAUGUGAGAUAAAAAGGUGAUUGGGAUUUGUGAGAAUAAAUUUUGCAAACCAAAUUAUCUUUGUCCAAACAAACUCAUUGUCUUUCUCCCAGCCGUGGAGAAUGCUUACAAAAGGCUCGGAGGAAAAAGUCAAAAAGUGCGGCUCUCCAGCCCCUGCUCUCUUCCUUCUCUUUUUUUUCUCCUAAUUCCCCGCGGCACCUCAGCAGAAUGAAGCCCUUCCAGCCGUCAUUCCCUUGCGAAAUUUACCAAAAUGGACGUAACAUCUUCUUUUCCAAAAAUAUCCCUGGGUCAAUCUCUAUCAUCGGGACUCUUUUUCUACCAAAUGUGCACCUGUCAUCAUAUUUUCGUUCUACUCCCUGAAAUAAGUGCAAAUUACGAAAAGUAAAUAGAAUCUACUAAUUAAUCCACAUCAGGUCAGGUAUUAGGGGAAAUUAAUAAUAAAAUAAAUAGAUAAAUUGCAACCUAUCACUUGUUCAAAUAAUUAAAUUGCGAGCACAAUUUCCAGAUUACCCAAUAAAGAAAAUUCGUCUAGAUAAUGCUGGUGAAUAUUCGUCACAUGCUUUUGACGAUUAUUGUAUGUCUAUUGGAAUAACUGUUAAACAUCCUGUAACUUAUGUUCACACACAAAAUGGCCUAACUGAAUCAUUCAUUAAACGGUUACAAUUAAUCGCUAGACCAUUGUUGAUGAUAUCUAAAACUUCCUUCAUCUGCUUGGGGACAUACUAUUUUACAUGCAGCAACACUUGUGAGACUUAGGCCAACAAGUUAUCAUACUUAUUCUUCCCUACAAUUAACUUUUGGUUAUGAACCCAAUAUUUUUCAUUUACGAAUAUUUGGUUGUGCGGUAUAUGUUCCAAUUGCACCACCCCAACGUAGUAAAUUGGGCCCCCAAAGAAGAUUAGGGAUAUAUGUCGGAUAUGAAUCACCUUCAAUCAUUAAAUAUAUGGAACCAUUAACAGGUGAUUUAUUUACUGCGAGAUUUGCAGAUUGCCAUUUUGAUGAAUCACAUUUUCCGACAUUAGGGGGAAAUAAAAAUCAACCGAAAAAGGAAAUCACUUGGAAAAUAUCAUUGAAUUUUCUUGAUUCUCGUACUAAAGAAUGUGAAUUAAAAGUUCAAAAGUUUAUACAUUUGUAAAAAAAUUACAAAUCAAUUACCGGAUGCAUUUAAUGACUCCAGAAGAGUUAUUAAAUCACAUAUUCUUGCUGAAAAUGCUCCGAUUAAAAUCGAUAUCCCUGAAGGUCAAAUUACAAGUGCUAAUAAGUCUAAAGCACGCCUAAAGCGUGGGAGACCUCUUGGUUUCAAAGAUAAAAAUUCUUGAAAAAAAAAAGAGAAGUAGAUGAAUCAAUAAUUAGUGACAAAAUUCAACAUCCUGAAGAGGUCGCUCCUAAAGAACCAAUUCUUGAAGAAAAUGAAAUUAUAGAAAACUCAAUAAAUUUUGUCACUUUAAGAAAAAGUUGGAACCGAAAAGAAAUAAUUAUUGAUAAUAUUUUUGCAUAUAACAUAGCACUUGAUAUUAUGGCAGAGGAUGAGGAUUAUGAGCCUAAAUCGGUUGAUGAAUGUCGACGUAGAAAUGAUUGGCCAAAAUGAAAAGAUGCGAUCCAAUCUGAAUUGGACUCACUGGCUAAAAGGAAAGUUUUUGGACCUGUAUUCCAAACACCUGAAGGUGUAAAGCCAGUAGGAUAUAAAUGAGUAUUUGUGAGAAAAAGAAAUGAGAAAAAUAAAAUUAUGAAGUAUAAAACAAGACUUGUAGUCCAAGAAUUUUCACAAAGGUUUGGAUUUGAUUAUAAUGAAACGUAUUCACCUGUAGUGGAUGCUAUCACAUUUAGAUAUCUUAUGAGUUUUGCAGUACAUAAAAAAUUAGAUAUGCGUCUAAUAGACGUUGUUACUGCAUAUUUAUAUGAAAAUUUUGAAAAUGAUAUUUAUAUGAGAAUCCCUGAAGGAUUCAACAUGCCUGAAGUAUGCAAAUCAACUCCUAAAGAUAUUUAUUCUAUUAAAUUACAAAGGUCUUUGUAUGGGUUCAAACAAUCUGGACGUAUGUAGUAUAACCGCCUCAAUGAAUGUCUAACUAAAGAAGGUUAUACCAAUGAUCUAAUAUGUCCAUGUGUUUUUAUCAAGAAAAAUGGAUCAAAUUUUGUGAUAAUUGCGGUAUAUGUUGAUGAUUUAAAUUUAAUUGGAACUCCUGAAGAGAUUCAAAAUAGUGUUGAAUAUUUGAUAAAAGAAUUUGAGAUAAAAAAUUUUGGACAGACAAAAUUCUGGCUUGAUUUACAAAUUGAGCAUUUGAAAGGUGAAAUUUUUGUUCACCAAACUGCUUAUACCCAAAAGGUAUUAAAACGAUUUUAUAUGGAUAAAGCACAUAGAUUAAGUACCCCAAUGAUCGUCAGAUCAUUAGAUCCUAAUAAGAAUCCUUUUAGAUCACGAGAGAAAAAUGAAGAGAUACUUGGUCCUGAAGUACCAUAUCUCAGUGCAAUUGGUGUACUAAUGUAUCUUGCUAAUUGUACAACACCUGAUAUAUCAUUUGCAGUGAAUUUAUUAGCAAGAUUUAGUUCCUCACCCACAAGACGACAUUGGAAUAGUAUUACACAUAUUUUUCGCUAUCUCCAAGGAACAAUUGAUUUUGAUUUAUUUUAUUCAAAUAAAUUCAAACCUGAAUUGGUUGGUUAUACUGAUGCUGGGAAUUUAUCUAACCCGCAUAAAACAAGAUCUCAGACUAGUUAUUUAUUUACAUAUAGAGGCACAGCCAUUUCUUGGCGAUCUACAAAGCAAUCACUAACCGCCACUUCAUCGAAUCAUGCUGAAAUAAUAGUAAUUCAUGAAGUCAGUCGAGAAUGUGUUUGGUUAAGAUCAAUGACCCACUAUAUUCGAAAGAGUUGUGAGUUAUUCUCCGAAAAAGAAAAUCCUCCAACUACAUUAUAUGAAGAUAAUGCAACUUGUAUUGCUCAAUUGAAAGGAGAUAGGACAGAACACAUUUCACCAAAAUUCUUUUUUACUCAUAAUUUGUAAAAGAAUGGUGAAAUUAAUGUGCAACAAAUCCGAUCAGAUAAUAAUUUGACAGAUUUAUUUAUCAAGACAUUACCAACUGCGACAUUUGAGAAAUUGAUGAAGAGUAUUGGAAUGCGACAAUUAAAAGAUCUCAAAUGACGUUUGCAUCAGGGGGAGAAAUUAUUACACAAGAAUAAUGUACUCUUUUUUCUUCACUAGGGUUUUUGGUUCCACUGGAUUUUUUCCUAAUAAGGUUUUAACGAGGCAUAUUUUUUGUGUAAUGGACAUCCAAGGGGGAGUGUUAUGAAAUAACAAAAAAAAUAUGGAUGUCCCUUUGUAUUCCCAAGGGAAUUAAUUCAUGAUUUUAUGGUUACAUUAUGUAUAGAAGUUACAAUCCAUAAAUCUAUUCAUGUAGUGGAAAAACCGUUUUAUAAGUUUCUUCAUAUUAUUGUAGUAGUGGGUGUUUAAUAUGAUUUAUGUAUCUUUGAUCUUGUAAUACCUAUAUAUAGAGGUACAUUAACACCCUUUGGGAGCACUUUUGUAUUUUGUUGGAAUACAAGAAUAUCACUCUCCAUUUCUCUACUUCUUUCUCCAAUAUUUCACUUGAUAUUAUAGUAGCUUAUUUUAUUAGUUUUAUAACAAAAAACCCUUUCUUAAAUAUUUUUUCUUGCGAAGUCAAUAAGUAUAAUAUGGCGCGGUUUUGAUCACUUAGGAUUCGUUUGGUUCACGGACCAAAUAAAAUGGGAUGACUCAUGCUCGAAUUAUUAAUCCUGAAUUGAGUCAUUUUCAAAUAAAUAAUAUAAGUUAUCUAGUGUUUGAUUGGUUAUAAAUUGGACAGGAUAUGUUGGGAAAUAAUCUUAUCCCGUGUUUGGUUGGAAAUUAGAUGAGAAAAGAUUACCAUUUUAAUGACCAAAGUACCCCUUAAUUUGUAGAAUUCUUUUUAAUAAAAUAAUUUAAUAUUUUUAAAAUAUUAAUAAUUUAUUAUUAAAAAAGUAAUUUAAUAAAAAAUUUCAUAUUUAUAACUUUUAUUAAAAUAGAGUAGUUUGAAACUUUAGAAUUAUAAAGUAAAUCAUGCAUUUUAAUAUAUAAAAAUUUACAUUCACUCAAACUCAACCCAUUCGGGUUCUUAAAAAUACAUUUUUGACCAAGUUUUUGAAUCUAAAUUUGAAAUUCAAUUAAAUAAUGGGCUGAGCUUUGCUAAGGUAGGGUUAAAUCGAUUAAAACCUAACCCAUUUAAGAGUUUUAAAUGAGCGAACUCAAUCUAAUAUAGAAGAUUUUUCUUUGGACCGAGUUUGAGUUUAUUGAAGUCCUCAUUCACAAAGGCCAAUUGAUAAGGUUAUAUAUUUAUAUAGAAUUUGGUUUAGAAAAUAAGCUUAGUAAGGAUAAUUUAGUCCAAGGGCAAUAUAGUCCUUCUAUUAUGAUGUUAGUAUGGCAAAUUAGUCAAAAAUUUUAAAUUAAUUAAUAGGGGUAAAUUAGUCAAAAUUUUAAAAUAAUAAAUAGGAGCAAAUUAGUCAAAAAAUUAUUCGUGCUCCGAGUCUUGAUUAUUCCUCAACUAGAUAAAAGGAUUUAGCCUUGCCGCAUAAUCACAAAGCAAUUGAAGGCUUUCAAUGGAAUAGAAUUUAGUUGAUGGAAGAGGAAAAAGCCAUGAAUCUUUGACUAAUGUUAGGAAGAAGAAAAGAAAGACAAAAGUUUCCAAGCUAAAAGACCCAGCCCUAGUCUAUUCCUGUUUUCUUUUAAAGCUCCGCCGCCGUCCUCUAGCUAGCCGAAUUAGAGGUUGUUUCUCAAACGAAUUGCUUCCUUAUUUCCCUCCUUGAAUUGCUGCCAAAAGUCGUCUUUGACUUUGUUUUCUUAUUCCCGCAAGUUCAGAAUUUGUUCCCAAAGAAAGGCGGUAGUUCCACGGAUAGGACCCGUGGUCCGUCUUUUUCACGCAACUCUGUAUUAUUUGGCGUGGGCAAGCUAUAGAAUGUCUAGUCUUCUGAAAUUUGCCUCUUCUUGUCACUUUUAACACCACUCGUCUGCCAAUAACACAAAUACCAAAUCUGAGCAGAAAUCCAGUGUCUUGCACAAUAAAUGACCAAAAUUAAGAUCAAAUACCAACGAAUAAAACACACAAUUAUACUGACAGUAGACAUUUUGUGGCAGAUAUGAAAAUCUAGAAACCGCUUUCAGCUCAAGAAGGAAAGGAAAUGUCCAAGAACAAUGGCAAGCAAAGCAGUGCAAGAAUGGCAAGAAUAGAGUAGUGCAAAGAGGGGAAGAUGGGGAAACAUGGAAAGAUAAGGAGAAUUCUGAGGUUGAGGUCAAGUGGAAACCACCUACAAAUGGUUUCAUUAUGUUAAACAUUGAUGCAACUUUGGAUAAGAAACAAGAGAAGGCUGGUUGGGGAAUUGUAACAAGGAAUGAACAUGGAGAAGUAGUAUGCACUUAAGCUGGAAAUGAAAGCAAGAACAGUAAGGUUGAGAUUGAAGAAGCGUUGCAAUCAGAACUGCAUUGACGAAGGGCAAUUAGGAAGGUUGGGGGAAAGUUAUAGUCCAAUCAGAUUGCACAAAUAUGGUGGACAGGAUUGCAGAGAGUGGUACACUUGAUCUUGUGAUAGGAACAAUAGUUGAGGACAUAUUUAGUUUUAUACAAAGUUUCAAUAAAUGACAUCUUUCCUUUAUCAAGAGGGAAGGUAACUAUAUUAGUCAUCAUUUAGCAAAAUUAGCCAUAAACCUGGUUAAGGAAGUCUGUUAAAGGGAUUCUUUCCCUCCCUGGUUAAUCAACUUAGCCAGAAAUGAAGUAGGAGCAAUUGCUCCAUCCUUGUAAUCCCUUGUGUUUGAAAUACAAAGCUAUUAUUGUUUGGCAAAAAGAAAAACUUAGUUAACUCAAUUAAUUGAAAAAUUUAUGUCUAUAGUUAACAAUAGAACAUUUUGAAAGACUACAUACAACCUAGAUUCUUUGUUGCAUUCAGAGAAAGAAAAGGUCCAACCCCCAUUAAUAUACCAUGUGUUUUAGUCAUUUUUUAUUGAAAAAGAAAAAGAAAAAGAAAGCCAUAUUGAAGGUGACAGAUUGUGAUAUUACUAGGCUAUGGAAGUUGGCAUUCAGCAACGUGUUUGCAUUAAGAAUAGGAUAAAUUACCUUUUACUUCCGUGGUUUGGUGUUUUAUGACAUAACUUCCCUAUGACUUAAAAAUUUAUAUAUACUCUUCUCAUGAUUUGGGUUAAUGUGUCACUAUUAGUUUUUUGUCCAAACAAACAGCCAAUAAUAAAAAACAAAUUUAAACUAAUAAAAAGAUAAAUUUACUCUUUCAUUACUUCUUUUUUUCGUCUAAACAUAAAAAAAGAAGAAAUUAAAAUAAAAAAUAGAUAAUAAGAACUAGAAAAUAUCAUUAAAAUUUUGGUUUAAAAACAUAUAAUGAUAUUUGUGGUCAAAAAAGGUUUGAUAUUUUUUGUUUCUUAUUUAUUUAUUUUAUGUUCCUAUUCCAUCUUUUUGGUUUCUUAUUUAUUUUUUUAUUUCCCUUUCAUCUCUUUGGUAUUUGGAGAAAAUUAAGAUUUUAUAGGUUAAAGUAUAGAUUUUCAAAAUCAUCUAUUCUCUUCCCCAAAAAAAGAGAGAGAGAGUGAGAGAAAGAAAAGGAAAAAAGGGAAAAAAAAAGUAAAAGGAUGAACUGUCAAUUUAUUAGUUGACUUUGAUAUUUUAUUAUUGAUCAUUAAUUUUAACAAAAAAACUAGGAUAAAUUAUAUUUUACCCCCCUGUGGUUUACCCUUUUUUUACAUAACCCCCCUAUGGUUUCAAAAGCUAUACAUAACCCCCUCAUGGUUUGGAUUAAAGUGUCAAAGUAACGGAAAUAGUCCCUCGUAACGGAACUUCUAAAAAUGUCGAAAUUACCCUUAUAAAUACAUGAUACAUUAACCCCCUAUGAUUUUUAUAUUUUACCAUAUAACCCCCUUAUGGUUUAAUACUUUACCAUAUAACCCCCUUAUGAUUUUCAAAAUAUACACAUAACCCCCCUUGGUUAAUACAUAAAUUUCAGCCUUACAUAAGGGUAUUUUUGACAUUUUAGAUGACGCCGUUACGAGUGACUAUUUUCGUUACUUUGACACUUUAAUCCAAACCAUAAGGGGGUUAUGUAUAGCUUUUGAAACCAUAGAGGGGUUAUGUGAAAAAACGCUAAAUCACAGGGGGGUAAAGUGGAAUUUGCCCAAAAAACUAAUAGUAACACUUCAACCUAAACUAUGAGAAAAUUAUAUAUAAAUUUUUUGAUCAUAAGGGGGUUGCAUGGUAAAAUACCAUACCACACCACGGGGAAGGGGAUAAUAGGUAAUUUUAUCCUUAAAAAUAUAGUAGUGGUUAAGCAUACAGAACAAGGAUAUGACUCCGCAGCUAUAUUCAUGUAAUCUAAAUUUUGGCUGGGAUAUGAGAAUUCACAUUCACUUUCACACUUUGUAUUUAUGGUUACUGGGAUACCAGGAAAUAGCAGAACAAUCCCUCCAUUGAUUCAUUUACUUGGUCUGACAUAUGCUCUAUUUAUAGGUUCAAAGAAUCUGCAGGGAGUUUGGCACUGCUUCAGGGGUCAGAAACAUGGAUAGACAAUUAUGACACAAGAUUUGAGUCUGGUUGCCAAAAUUUCACAAGAAAAGGUUCAUUUGGCAUCUGAUCUUUUAAAACCAGUCCAUGAGAUUUGCAUUAUAAACACAUAAUUCAGUAAUCUGUGAGAUACUGAGACGGCCUCCGAAUAAACCAAAAGCUGUGUCCACAAGAUGCUUAAUAGAAAAACAAAAUGCCAGAACAGGAUAGGCUAGCUCCAGGUAGCAUUACAUAGAAGAGUUUCAAACAGAAUUUGAUGGACUAAUAAUGACACAAUCUCAGCAGCUUCAGCAACCUGUUAAGAACAUUGAACAAACAUCAUUAGAUACGUUGAAAUGAAAAAGAUAAACAAAAAAAGAGAAGAAAAAUGUCACCACAAUAAAUAGUAGAACAACUAGAAACUGGUUUUCCACUUCUCAAUGCUGCUCUGCACAUAGUAUCACCACUACUCUACAUACAAUCUUCUUCUCGUUUGGAAUAAAGUAGGGUUCUCAACCAUUAUCUCCAACAUAAAUCAGACCAGUAAAUCCAUUUUCCUUUUCCUGGUCCAAGAACUUCCACAAGAAAAAGACUUCAGGCCUCCAAAUGUGUAUUUAUAUGCUCUAUGGUGAACAAGUUCCUGCUACAUGACAAUUAAAGACGAAAUUUGUCAUCCUAAACGCAGCAAUUGUUUAACACUAAAACAAAUGCAAUUUGCUGUAACAGAGUGGAAAACUAUGUUACUCGGGCUCGGGCAUGAGGGUCAGAUAUGGGUAUGUGUCUAAGUGUCUAGUUCUUUAAUCAUCUAAAAACAGGAUAAAGGGGCACUUCUAAAGAGUCGGAUACUGGUACUUAGGUAUGAUGGACAUUCUAGGAAAUAUACAAAUUAUGUACAUCGAUUGUUGUUUACUUAUAUACGAGCAGGGCAAUUUUCCUUGGGAGCUUGUUAGAUUUCAUUUAUACAAGGGAAAUUCAGAAUUCUAGAUAGGUCUUCUUUCUCUCUAACAUGAAAGUCCUAAAGUUUUCCACUUCACUUUACCUCUCUCGUCCCCCUUCACCAUCAACAUCCACUGACAAAAAAGAGACCAGUACCAGUGUCAAGUUAUGUCGACACGGGUACAUUGGGGUACAACAAAGAGCCGGAGUAACAUAGGUGGAAAGGUGAUUUUCAGGUAGCUAAUCUGUUAGUGUCACCAGUUUGACAAGCUUAUACCCAUUAUGGCAACAAUGGCUUUCACCCUGACAAAAUUAUACAUAACUUGAUGACUAUGUCUUGGAAAAUCUUUUGCAUUGCUCAGGCUUCCAAGAAAGAUAGAUGGUGAGAGACUGAGAGUGAUAGCUGGAAAUUUCAAUCACUUAAUAAAGCUCACUUCUCUCUUCCUUUCUACCUGGCACAUUAGAAUCAACUUUCCAUUCCAUGGAACUGGUCAUGAAAAAGUUAAUGUGUGUUAGGAACCAAAUAUACCCCUCAUCUCAACACACAUUAUUUAUAUCUACAGCCAAGCCCCACAAAAACUUUGGUUUUAAGAGAACAGAAAGCAAACUCCUACAAAAACAGUUUCAAGAUUAUAAUCGUGUUUGAAGUUACUGAUGACAAGAAUGAUAAAAUCCAGCUACAGCUUUGCCGAGUAAUGUCAUCAGAAAAACCACUUCUAAUAGGCUUGAGUAUCAUUCUUCAAUGCAAGUAUAGAUACCAAACCAGUAACAUGCCAACUUGCACUCACAGCAGUUUUGUUACCAGCAGUUAGCCAGUAGGGUUUCAGACUUCAAUCACAGAAUGAGAGCUGCGAAAACACUAUGCAAUGAAAGUUGCUAAUAAGCAACUGUUAAGAAUUGAACUUUGUUCCAACCUCGAAAGGAAAAGAUAUCAGAAACUAUAAUACUCAACAACUGUUAUUUGCCUAUAUCUCUGUCUGCCCCUAACUCAAGCAUACUUCCCAUUCAACUGUAGUUCAAACUCAAUAAAAGCCCAGAUUCCCAGGACUACAGCUUAUUGUUAAAUGUGAGUAUUAUCCUCAGCUAUCUUUUCUCUGGAAAAGCUGUUUAAUCAGAUUCUUUCCUAGCUGGGGAUACAAUGUAUCUCUACAUGCCCCUUGGAAGAGAGCUUUUGGCUACAAACCUCAAUAGGCCACAAUUGUUUUCCGGCUUAGCUCCACUACAUGGAUAAUUUCCUAUUUCUUUUUUUUUUUCAAGUCCUUUUGCCCAGUAUCAAGUGAAAAAUGAGGCUCAUACAAGCAAUGAAAGCUGUAACUGGGCAAAUCUUGGUGGUAUUGACCAGAACCAACUACUAAAGCACCCCAAAUCCCAUGGUUUUUUCUUCAUGCGAGCAGUUGCACUUAUAGCCAGUUUGUCACACAUCACAUAGUCUACUCACUUAAUACAACUAAAAAGCAGUCACGAAACACAACUGCUCUUAGUAAAAAAAGAAGCCAUCCAUUUAGCUUGAUGAUUUCAUAAGGUUCAGACUGAUGCUUUGACAGAAUUUGGUAAACAUCAGGUACAAAUGAAAAUACCUAGACAGAAACCUGAUGUACUGCAGGUGAACAUUUAUUAUCUAGUACAAAGGCACUACAUUUGCAAUCUUUUCCAUUUCUCCAUUACAACAGAAUGAUUAGCUUCAAUACUUCUGAGGUACAAAAUUAUCAAAAUUUGUUCAGUUGACAACAGAAAACUAAUCAGGCCAUUAUAAUUAGCACAUCUAGAAACAACUUUGGGAGUUAGACGUAAUAUCAAUGAACAUUCAAAGGUAUCAAAAAGCUAAACACAGAUCCACACAAAGCAAAGGAACUAAAAAGUUCUCUCGCUGAGUAUGUCUGAGCUGCAACCGAGCAAAUACAUCCUAAAACAAGUUCAUAAACAUUGUCUCCAAAGUGGCACUAUUCUUUGCCUACCAACUGAAGCAAAUCUCCAACCAACAAAAGUGAGGUACAAAAGAAGGAUAUAAGCUUUAUCACAAAGAACCACAUAAAUGAGCAAUGCAACACUCUUGAGUCUUGACAGAUACAGAAAUUCACUGAGAAACUCAUAAACUUGAAUUAAACCACAUUCGAUUGAAGAAAACGUAAAUAACCAAUUACAAAACUAAAACAAGAAAAAUCCUUGACUAAUACUCCCUCUGUUCCAUUGGCACUGUCAUAUUUUCCUAUUUGUAACUUACAAAAAUUGGCUAACACAGUUGCAUUCAAUUCCUCCAUUUACCGUUCAAACACUCCCUAAAAGUCCAAUGCAUGUGUCUUUUCAUGAGCCCACAGAUUAUUACCAACGAAACUAAGACAACUUCUUUUGUAGUACGCGCUAGUUGGCAUUUAGAAACUAAAGCCAUCAAGUGUUCUGAUGCACGCGCUAGUUGGCAAUCAUAUCUGCGAUUGGACAAACAUAUUGGCUCCACGAUUCUUUAUGUCUUAAUACAACACUUAAAGCUCUUCAAUUUUCAAAUUCUAUCCACUCUUCAUAAAAAUUACAAUUCCCGAAGUGCAAUAAAUUUUUGGGAUGAAGCGAGUAAUUCUCAAUAGCAGACCAAAACUGUCAUUAAAUUGUCUAUUAUACGAGUCAUUAGCUCAUAAAUUGCAAGCACUUCAACCAAAAAUUACAUAUCAAUGACAAAAAACCCCAUUCAGAGAUAACCUUAAGACUGUCAAAACAUAGAGAUUAUAAAUCCUAAAGACUGUCAAUUUAAAAAACUAAAGCAAACCCACUUAACAAAACCUAUUCAACCGUCACCCAAGAAAACAAAAUUUUAUGUACUUUCCCUAAGAUUAAACCAAAUAAAACUUGAAACCCAGAAAAAUGUCAAAAAGCCUCCAAAAAAAUCCCAGGUAAAAUCAUCCAAAAUAGAACUCAAAGAAAAAACUAAAAAAUAAUUACCUUGUUUUUGUUGGGCUUCGGCUUCCCGGAUCUUCUGCAUCCGUUCCAUGACAAGCUCGUACUCGCACUUCUUACCUGCUUGAUUGAUUAACAAAUUGAUAAGACCGAAACAAGUAAUCUAUGUGCAUAUGCCGCUCAUAUGCUCUGCCUAAUCAAUUAUAAAUGUAAACAAAAUUCACCGCUCGAGUUGAAGCAAAAAUCAAGAGUCGGCCUUGUUUGAAUUCCCAUUUCUUCCCAAAAAAUUUUACACUUUGCGUUAAUGCGUCUUUCAAUCACUUUUUUUUACCUCAUGUGUAUCGUAUAGUUACAAUCUAUUUUUUCACAAAAACUCCAGAAAAUAGUACUCCUCCGUCCCACUUUAAUAGUUCUGUUUCUUUUUUCGCACAGUUUAAGAAAGAGUAGUUAACUUUGUUGAAAAAGUAAAUUUAGAUUGCUAUUUUCCUAAAAUACCCUCACAUUAAAUAGAGUACAACUUUAUGGGAACUUGAAUUGAUGGUAAAAAAAGAAUCAACUCUCAUUAAAUGGGGUAGAUUUAUAGCAACAACAACUUGUAUUGAAUAAGGGUAUUUUAGGAAAAUAAAAAUACAAUUACAUUUUUUAAUUAAAAAAUGGACUGUAAUUUGGGACAGAUAAAAAAGAAAUACAGGACUAUCAAAGUGGGACGGAGAGAGUAGUAUCUAUUUGCGAUCUCAAAAGCAGCAAUUAAAAUGACUGCUGCACUGCCCCACUCACAUCGGUUGAGCUGAAGGAACUACAAUUACACAGUCAAAAUGACUGAAGCUCUAAUAGAAAGGCCGCCAGAGUUGCUCCAAAUUAACCGGUCCAUAUCCGCUGCUAGUACAGCAAUGAUACUGAAAGAUGAAGUUGCAAUCUUGCUGCUGCUGCUGCUAGUCUUCUCAUUGAAAUUAAUGUCUUAGUAUCCACAGAAUUUUCUCAAGUACCCCACAGCUUUCUCUUCACAGACUCGACCACAAUUACCAUGGUCCCCCCAGCUCUCUAUUGGACUCUUUUCUCAUGGCAGCCGGCUGCCAACCAGGGUGAUAGACUCAUAAAGCCGAGAAUCUUUUUCUAUUUUGCUAACUUCCAAGAAAUAAUUUCAAGCAGGAAUUUGUCCCUUUCCUUACCUGCCUCCAAAAAAAAUUAUAGAAAUUAUUCUUUGGAGUAUGGGAGUAUAGUAUAAUUUGAAUCAGUCUAAAGACUUGACUUUUCCGACUUGGCAAGUCCACGCAGGAGUUUACAGUGACGACGGAGCCAUCCUCACUUCAUUUUCCAAGGACCAAUAAUUCCUCUCGCCUCAUCCUGCUAAUCCUACACCAGCUUUAAACCGAUCACCUCCAUCGAUGUAGGAGUAAUCUUUGUGUUUUGCGGUACCCUCUUAAUUUUGCUCCAAUGUUUACUCUUCUUGUAUACCUCUCCUUUCUCUUCAAUCUCUUGUUCAUCAUCACUUCCAGCGAUACUCCGCCUUACAGCCCCACAGAUUACAUCCUGAUCAACUGCGGAUCAUCCUCAAACGCAACCUCAACCGAUGGCCGAAACUGGUACGGCGACGCCGGCUCAAAAUUCUCCCCUAACGACAUGGCGAAUAUAUCAUCAGCUGUCACAGCCACCGAGCAAGACUCUUCCGUCUCCGGAGCCCCUUAUUUAACUGCCCGUAUCAUUCGUUCUAAUUUCUCCUAUACCUUCCCUGUCUCCCCCGGAAAAAAGUUCGUCCGCCUUUACUUCUACCCGGCCUCCUACUCCAGCGACUUCAACGCAACUGAAUCUUUCUUCGCUGUCAUGGCUAAUAACUACACCCUUCUGAGCAACUUUAGCGCAUUUUUAACAGUUUCCGCCGGGGGAUUCUCACCUGCCUACGUCGUUAAAGAAUUCAUCAUUAAUGUUGAGGCUAUGAAUCAAUUCCUCAACGUUACCUUUUUGCCCUCUACGCAGUCCUACGCGUUCAUUAAUGGAAUUGAAGUUGUUUCAACCCCGGACGGACUCUACAUGGGCAAUAAUCCCCUCAAAAACGUGAAUGAUCCCAACAUUCAGUUCGAGCUUGAUCAGAACGACACUGCCUUCGAAGCUCUUUACAGGCUUAACGUCGGAGGAAAAGAUGUUUCUGCAUUAGCUGAUAGUGGGAUGUUCCGAGGAUGGGUUCCCGAUGACAAAUUCAUCUGGAGCGUAGAUCAAGGGAAUCCAUUGAGCAAUAAUGAAAUUGCUGUCAACUACACUCUGCAAACCCCAAAUUACACUGCGCCAGCGAUAGUUUAUGCUACCGCAAGGGCGAUGGGCAACUUUAGCACCCGCUUCAACUUGAGCUGGAUGUUCUCUGUUGAUUCUGGAUUUGAUUAUCUCCUGAGGUUGCAUUUUUGCGAGAUUAACCCUGAUUUGAUUACACAAGAGAACCAACGGGUGUUCAGGAUAUUCAUCAGUAACAAAACAGCUGAGGAAGAGGCUGAUAUUAUAGCUUGGACCGGCGGCCCCGGAAUCCCGGUUUUCAGAGACUACGUCGUGCUCGUUCCACACCCACCGGAUGGUCGCCCGAGCAAGCAAGACUUGUUUCUUGCUCUGCACCCAAAUCUCGACGUCAAGCCGAAGUAUGCUGAUGCAAUCUUGAAUGGUUUAGAAUUGUUCAAAUUGAACAACAGCGACGGCAGUCUUGCCGGGACCAAUCCUGAUCCGCCGGCGGAUCCCAAUUCCCGGAUGCCAAACAGCAAGCCACCGAAAAAGGGGAGAGGUGUAAAAUCUCGGGUACUUUUUCCUAUCGUGGGAGGGGUGGUCGGAGGGGCUGCCUUGGUUUUGAUCAUCGGUUUCUUGAUUUCCCGGCGGCUAAGGAGACGGGUAAAAGAUUUUGACCAGAAAAGUGCUUCAAAGUCAUCCGGGGUCCAACUUUCAACCACGUCCAGGUCAUCAAAGGCAACAAGUGCAUCGAGGUCUUCGUCACUGCCGCUGGAUCUUUGCCGGAGAUUUUCCCUGGAGGAGAUCAUCUUUGCUACGGCCAACUUCGAUGCUAACUUUGUGAUCGGAACCGGAGGAUUCGGAAACGUGUACAAAGGGUACAUCGACAAUAGUCUAAUCACAGUUGCUAUUAAGCGAUUAAAUCCUUCGUCAAGUCAAGGGGUCCGCGAAUUUCGAACCGAGAUCGAGAUGCUGUCGAAUCUAAGGCAUCUUCAUCUGGUAUCCCUGAUAGGUUACUGUGACGAGAAGGGAGAGAUGAUCUUGGUUUAUGAUUACAUGGCCAAUGGCACCCUCCGCGACCACCUCUACAAAACAGAUAAUCCACCCCUCCCGUGGAAGCAACGGCUUCAGAUUUGCCUCGGCGCAGCCAGAGGGUUGCAUUAUCUCCACACCGGCGCCAAGCACAGCAUCAUCCACCGGGACGUCAAGUCAACCAACAUAUUGCUGGACGAGAAAUGGGUGGCUAAGGUUUCGGAUUUCGGUCUGUCCAAGCUAGGCCCCAGCGGUGGAAUCCACAGCCAUGUCAGCACGCAGGUGAAGGGGAGUUUCGGCUACGUAGAUCCGGAGUAUUACAAGAGACAGCAGUUGACGGAGAAGUCGGACGUGUACUCGUUCGGGGUGGUUUUGCUCGAAGUGCUGUGUGGGCGGGGAGCCAUUAUUCCCAACUUGCCCAAGGAGCAGGUGAAUUUGGCGGAGUGGGGCAAGAGGUAUUACGCAAAAGGGAUCAUCCACCAAACUGUAGACCCUCACAUGAAGGGCGAGAUUGCUCCUGAGUGUUUGAGGAGCUUUGCUGAAACAGCGAUCAACUGUUUGAAAGAUCAGGGGAUUGAACGACCCGGAAUGAAUGAUGUAGUUUGGAGCCUCGAAUUCGCGUUGCAGCUUCAGGAGGCGGCUGAAAAUAAGAGCGGUCGACGUCCAUUUGCUUUCCGUAUGCAUGGGUUGGGAAGAGAUGAGCAAGCUACGACUGAGGAUGAUGAGGAUGUGUUCUCAGACUCGGGAGUUGAGAAAGAUUCUGCCGCCCUGAUGAAGAGCCGUAGUAUUACGACCGGGACAUUCACGGCCAGUAGUGACAUGUUAAAGUCUGAUAAUGUUUUCUCCGAGAUCAUGAAUCCCACCGGCAGGUGAGGAUUGUAAUCAACAGAUUAAACCUCCAAAAAUGGACGUGGGAUAUUCAUGUCUCGGGAGUCUAGCGUGCUUUGUCCUUGUGCUAUUUUUUUUUUUUUUGGUCUGUAUUGGGCAACCUAUUUGUAAUGCCAAGAUAGUAUAUUUUUGGAAAUGUAAUAUUAAUUAAGGAAAGUAAAUAAAUAUUGGGAGUGUUUUUGAAAAUGUAAAAUCGAUUUAAAAAAGUAAAUAAAUAUGAUAGAAGGUUAGUAAGACUAGAUGGGAAAAGUAUUUAUUAAAUGCAAGGGAAGGUGAUAAUUCAUGCCUUAGGAGUCUAGUGUGCUAUGUCCUUGUGCAUUUUUUUUUUUUUUGUAUUGUGCAACCAUUAAGAUAUAUUUGUGGUGUUAAAAUAUAUUUUGAAAAUGUAAAAUUAAUUAAGGAAAGUAUGUAAAUAUGAGGGAGUAUAUUUUGGAGAUGUAUGAUUAAUUAGGAAGAGUAAAUAAAUACAAGAAAUGAUUGGUAAGAUUAGAUGGGAAAAGUAUUAAAUGCAAGGGAAAGUAAUAACUAUUAGUAUGUGUAUGUAUGAUAGGUUAGGUGAAUUUUAAAUGUCUUAAUAAAAUAAAAGUACCUAAUGGAUAUGGGUACCCAUUAAAAAAAACGCUUUCUUAAAUAUUUUUUCUUGCGAAGUCAACAAGUAUAAUAUCGCACGGUUUUGAUUGCUUAGGAUUCGUUUGGUUCACGGACCAUAUAAGAUAUGAUGACUCAUGCUCGAAUUAUUAAUCCUAAAUUGAGUCAUUUUCAGAUAAAUAAUAUAAGUUAUCUAGUUUUGAUUGGUUAUAAAUUGGAUAGGAUAUGUUGGGAAAUAAUCUUAUCCAAUGUUUGGUUGGAAACUGGAUGAGAAAAGAUUACCAUUUUAAUGACCAAAGUACCCCUUAAUUUGUAGAAUUCUUUUUAAUAAAAUAAAUUAAUAUUUUAAAAAUAUUAAUAAUUUAAUAUUAAAAAAUAAUUUAAUAAAAAUUUUCAUAUUUAUAACUUUUAUUAAAAUAGAGUAGUUUGAAACUUUAGAAUUAUAAAGUAAAUCAUGUGUUUUAAUAUAUAAAAAUUUGCAUUCACUCAAACUCAACCCAUUCGAGUUCUUAAAAAUACAUUUUUGACCAAGUUUUUGAACCUAAAUUUGAAAUUCAAUUAAAUAAUGGGUUGAGCUUUGCUAAGUUAGGGUUAAAUCGAUUAAAACCUAACCCAUUUAAGAGUUUUAAAUGAGCUGAACUCAAUCUAAUAUAGAAGAUUUUUCUUUGGACCGAGUUUGAGUUUAUUGAAAUCCUCAUUCGCAAAGGCCAAUUGAUAAGGUUAUAUAUUUAUAUAGAAUUUGGUUUAGAAAAUAAGCUUAGUAAGAAUAAUUUAGUCCAAGGGCAAUAUAGUCCUUCUAUUAUGAUGUUAGUAUGGCAAAUUAGUCAAAAAAUUUAAAUUAAUUAAUAGGGGUAAAUUAAUCAAAAUUUUUAAAAUAAUAAAUAGGAGCAAAUUAGUAAAAAAAUUUCAAUAUAAUUGGAAGGGGUUAAUUAGUCCAUUUAUUAUCAUAUUAUUAUGUGAGACUAUGGUUAUAUAAUAGUUAGUAUGAAUUUGUAUCACUCAUAAGGGCAAAUUAAUCUAAAUAUGUUAUAUUGGUAGUAGGAGUAAAUUGGUCAAAAACUUUAAAAUUAAUUAGUUGGGGCAAAUUAGUCCAUUCAUUUUAUAUUAUCAUGUGGGAGUAGGGUUAUAUAAUUAUAAGAGUAUAAAUUUAUAUUUUUUGUAAGAGUUAAUUAGUCUAAAAUUUGAUCGUCCUAUUUGUUAGUUAUCCUAGGAUAACUAAUAUCACCUCCCCCAUUUGAUUAUUUUAUCCCAUAAAUAGGGGAUUAAUUCAGUUAAGUAAGAUGUGUCAUCCUAUAUAUAAAAUGUAAUCAAACAUGAGAUAACACGGGAUAAUUAAUCUAAUCCUGUAUCAUCCUAUGAACCAAACAAGUCCUUAGUACUUUGAUAACUUCAAGGACUCUGGUCGAAUUUUAUAUUUGGACACAAUUGACCCCAUAAAAAUAAAAUCUAUACUCGAUGCAAAUGUGCCCUUAGAAUUUGUAAAAUUGUGUGACUUUGCCAUCAUAGGAAAAUAUUGAUAAGAUGGGCAACAUUGGAACAAUUUUUGAGUUCUCAAGGGAAAAAAAUAACACUUGAGGUUAUUAAUGGACAUGAAAUGAUAAUCUGGAUUGCAUUUUUCUGAAUUUUUUGUAGAAAAAUUACUAUAACGAUUUGAUAAAUGUGAAGUAAAAAGAUGAUUGAAAAAUGUGUUCAGAAAAACAUAACAAAUUUUCUUUCCAAAAAUUGCUUUCCAAACAAGACUUAAAGGCAUUUAUUGAAGGAAAAAUUUCACCAACGAUUUUGUGUAGCGAUUGGAUAAUUGACAUAUUUAGAAGAAGCAAUCCUACAAAUACGCAAACAAUUAUCCAUACAUACAAUAUAUAUAUAAGGAGAGAACAGGGUUGGUGUAAAUUUUUUCUGUUACUUUUUGUAAAUCCUAUUAAUAAAGGACAAAAUGGUAUUACCAUUUCCCAAAAAUAAACACACACACACACACACACACACACAUAUAUAUAUAUAUAUAUAUAUCUCCCAUUUUUUAAGUCUAAAAAAACUUCUAAUUUUGUAAUAAUGGCCAAUAACAUUUUAUCAAAAAAAGAAAUAAAAAAACAAAUUAUUUUCAUUCAUAUAUCUAAAUAAAUCCUCAAUAACUACCAAAAACUUUAUUAACUUUCUCUCUAUAAAUGGACUUAUUUUAAAUGUGUACACACAUAGAAUGUGCCCUUGUCACUAGUUCAGCAUAAUACUUUGCAUGAGGAUAUGCAUGUUUUCAGUUGAAAUGUCAUAAAUGAAUGGCUAUUGAAUAGGGAUAUUAAUUAGUUAUUUGCUAUUUAAGAUACACAAAUUGCUACUAUUGUAUCUACUAUUCUAUUUAUUUCUUUGGCAUUGUUUGAUAACUCAUUUCAACACUUAAACUUAAUAUAUUAUCUUAACAUAUUCAAACAUGUUUCAUAACAAAAAAAAAAAGAACAUUUUAAUUAAUUAAGUGGUUCUGAAUUGUGUAGACAAAACUUGUGACGCCCCCACUUCUCCCUAGGGCGAACCCUAAGAUAUCCGCAGAACGCCUGUCCAACUCUCGCCGGGAUUCACUACAAUCUAUAAUUCAAAACUAGAAAUACUUCAAAUAAUUUCAAUAUAUAUAUAUUUCAAGUACUCCAAAACACUUCAUACUUACAAUUAGUUAGCUUUCAAAUUUAAUACAACUCAAAAGAGUAUAUACUACAAGUCUACAACCAUCUGUUAUAAUACAACUUAAAGUUUCCAAAAGGAAACAACUUAAUACUAUUCACAGGCACUUUCGAUCUUGAAUCCUGUUAAGGAAAACAAAAACAUGGAAUGAGCUACACAGCCCAAUGAGAUUCCAAGACACUCUAGCAGUUCUAAUAAAUCAAGUACUUUGAGCAUAACACAUGUAUGGUUCAAGAUUGCACGUUGGCACAUUAAUAUGAAACAAUUAUCAUUAUACAGAAAUAAACACAUAUUGAAGGAUACGGUGUUCCAAUGGAACCAUUUCGAUCAACUUCACCUUAUAACUUCAGAUCCCCUCGAUUUGUCUAACCAUCACCUUAUCCCUCCAGUGGUAAUACUCGAGUAUAUCGAAAUGGUGGCCCAGGGUUCCAACCUACCCGACUGAGCCUAGUCCUGGCUCUAGCAAAUUAGUAACCAAGGGCAAGACCCAAUUCAGUUUAGAGUUUACAACAUGCACAAGUAAGCAAGUAAAUCGGUAAACGGUAAAUAAUCACGGUUAACGUUAAAAAUUUAUAAUUUUUGUAGGUCGAGUGAGAUAAAAUACACACUCACCUUAAAACGAUGAGCAAUUUCAUAUGAACAAUUAUCAGUAACACUUAACACUUAAACACGUAAGCAAUAUGCGAUAGUUUCAUAUGCACAUGUAAUUUACGGUAAUCAAGUAGUCAAGUAAUCAAGUAAACAGGUACUCAAGUAAAUCGAUUAACGGUAAGUAAUUACGGUAAACGGUAGUAGUUCACGGUUAAUCAGUAGACAUUUAUCAUUUUAGUAGGUCGAGUGAGAUAAAAUACACAUUCGCCUUAAAACAGUGAAAAAGUUCAUAGGAGCAAUUAUCGGUAAUACUUAACCGUUAAAACACAUAAUGACCAUGGAGUGAACAUGUCGUAAAACUAUUCAAGUCACGUACUCCUAUAUGGAACACUCAAUUCAGAAUAAAUGAGUAAAGAAAGUCGUCAAUGAUCCACUUGGGGAUUCUCUUCGAGACCUUCUUGAUCGUCUGAAGAAAAGUGACCAAUAACCACCCUCGCAAUUUCACAAAUUCCUUAUCAAACAAGAAAGAAUGCACACUUGCUUUAGAAUUCAAGUCAAUGUCUUUAUAAGAGCUUUAUUUUAUCAAAAGUUAAUAUUCAAAAGUGUGGAUUUUAAAAUUACUGAGGAAACUCAUAUCCUCCACGAAAUCGGGUUCAAAACGAUAGAUUAAUAUCAAAAUAAGAAGUCAAGCUUCCAAAAUUUCAUUUUUUAAGAAUUUGGCAAAUUUCAGCUUUGUGCGUCAAAUUUAGAAAAAUCAUAUCUUACACUCAGUAGGUCCAAAAAUGAAAAAUUUGAUACCGUUGAAAACCAAAUCCAAGAUACUAAAAGUUUCUAGAAAACAUUUUUCCAAGUUUCUAAAUAGAAAGCAUUUAUUUUCCAGCUUAAAGUUUCAGUUUUGAACAAGCAAGGCAGAAUCAGUCUUGUUUUUUGACAAUCUUUGAAAAUUCGGCAUAAUUUAUAAAAAGUGAACUAGCCUUUGAAAUUUGUAACACAAUAAGAGUUCCAAUCAAGGUUUCAAACACAAUAAACAGAACUAGAAUCGGCGUUUUGAACGCCAAGAUAUAAUAGCUCAAAGUUGGUUAAAAAUAAGGACCAUUAGGUCCAUUUUCCAGAUUUGGAAGGCUAUCUUUGAAGUAUCAUUUGGCUAUCGAUUUGGCAUUGGAAAUACACCAAACCUGGUGCACUAAAUCUUCUAUGGGUGGACAACAUUUCUACUAAGUUCCACGUAAAAACUCCCAUGGAAAGGCAGUCAUUAAAACAACUAAAGUUCAAGAAAUAUCCCAAGGCUAAUCUGCCUUCUUGCUUCCUUUUUCUUUUCAAACAUUUUGCCCAAUGAAAUCAACUCAAAUCUAGCUCAUUUAUGAAAAAAAAAAGUCCGAGAAACAUCGAAUAUAUAUUUGAUAGGUGAUUGACAUCAAAAUCUCAAAAUAAAACCUCUCAUAAGUAACCAAACCAAUCAGCCAGCAUGAAAAGAGGGUUUUCCAGAUUUGCUGCAGUUUAGGACUUGGACCAUAACUCACUCAAUACAGAUUGGAAUUGGGAAUGGUUGGUGGAGUUGAAAACUAGAUUCAAAAUUAUACAAUUCAUCAAAAUAACUCAUUUUGAAAUUCAGUUGGCAAGUGAGAGAAAAUAGAGCCACAAUUUGCAGCUUGUAGCUUUCCCUCGGUUAGACAGUGAAACAAGACAGCAAACUUUGCUCAAUCACUACAGAUGACUCGAUUUGAAUUAGAAGGUCCAUGAUACAUCAUUAGAAAACUACAGAUGUCUAGUUUUAAAUUCCAUAGACAGCACUUGAUUUCAAUGUUUGAGCAGAGAGUUAUGUUCAUUCAAAAAUUACUGCCAUAGGACCACUGCUCUGCGAUUUUUCAGUUUUGUUUUUGCCAAAACUCACAUUUUGCUCAACCAAAUCAAGUGAUUUUCGGUGCAAACUUUCCAUACAUCCUAUACAACAUAUCUAUAUCAGUUUCAAGGUCAUUUGAGUAUCAAAAUUUUGAGCCUCAAAAUUUUGAGCCAAAGCUUCGAGAAAAACAGGGCAGAUUCGGUCAGAUUUUUUCCAUGCAAUUCUUUCGAUUUUCCUUUCACUUUUCCAACUAAUCUCAUCUUGUUUAUCAUAAAAUUAACACAAACAACACUUAUCAUCAUUAUAUCAGUCCUAUAUCAUCAAGGUGGGAUUUCAUAGAGCCCACUCCAACCAUUUAAAUCCAAAUAACAAUAUCAAUAAUGAAGUUACGAGCUUCAUAGCCAAGAUCGAAUCCAUUUAAAGCUAAGAAUGAAAGAUUGGAUAGUUAUACCUCUUAGAUGAUGAAAAAUCAGAAAUUUUGGGUCACCAAAAGCUCCAAGAAACUCGGCUAGAAGACCUCCUCCUCCAAGUCAAGAUGAAUCUCCAAGUAGUUAGAAGUUGGAUGGUGUUUUUGAGUGCAAGAUUGGAGCAAAAUUGGUGCAAGAAUGGAAGUGAAAUUGGAAAGGUUUCUCUUCUUCUUCCUCCUUGGAGUUUCAGCCAGCCUUGAGUGAAAAGAGAGAGAGAGAGAGUGAAAUCUGAUAUCUAAAGCUUCUUAAAGAAGCUUGGAAACUUGGGGCCAAAGUUUGGGAAAAGUAAACUACCACUAGUGUCGCGCGCACGCGUUUCCGGUCCGAUUUCUCUCGGAUUUGUUUCACUUGUGUACUAAAUCUCAAAUGUACUUCCUUUAACAUUAUAAUUAUUCACUGUUAGUAGUCUAGUAUAAAUUUCUGAAGUCUCCGUUUAACCAUUCCAACUCGAUAUACGCGAAAUUCCAAUUCGCGCACAAUAAGGUGAAGUUUACGGGAAAUUCAUAUAACGAUUAUAUAAUUAACUACUACUAAUAUAAUUAAUUAUAAAAUAACCAUUUUAGAAAUAAAACAUGAGUCCUCAAAUCUCCAAGAUUAUUAUACUCUCGGAUCGAUUAUUGUCUCGAAAAAUGUGUACUCGUUAUUUUUCACUAAACGAGCCCUAGCAAAUUAAAUUUACUAACGAGACAUUUUAAAAAUAUAAUUGAGACUUUAUUCCAUAUAAAUGGAUUUAAAAUGGUUGAAAUAAAUUAUUCGGAAAAAACGGGUGAAUAAAUAAUUAAUUAAGCCAUUAAAAUAAGAUUAAAAAUAAGUAAAAAAAAAUUCGGCUCCUCAUAAAACUUACUCUAAAAUAUAAGUUAUAAAUUGUUCAUUUAUUACUUAAUGCAGAAUAUGUUUAAAUGUUAGGAUUUCAGUAUUCAACAAUUCAACAAUUUAAUGAAUUCAAAUUUCAAGGCUUUAGAUUUCAAACUUCAAAUUUUAUUUUUAUCAAAUAAACUUCGAUUAUUGAUUUUUUUUAAUGUGUUCAUAAAGACGGGGUCUCUAAAAAAGAAAGUGUGGCACCUAACAUGGCAUGGCUGAUCCAACAAUUUCUUAUUUGGGGUCCUCAUCAGAUGAAUCUAAUUGGGAAAAGAGUCCCAAUGGCCCUCCAACUCUUUCUGUGACACUUCUGUCAAAUUCAGAGGUUAAAAUUGACGGGAAGCAUCAUCUCGUGCCACGGGCAACCAAAUAUCAAGGGCAUUAUGGUCUCUUUCUCACGGAACUUUGACCUGAGCUGGAGAUGACAGUUUUUAAAGUGGUAGUAUUCUUAGUCCCAUGGUCAAAACUUGGGAAAGAUCCAUCAUCAAUGUCAACCCCGUCGGAGAGUACGAAAACAUUGAUGGGAUCGUAAAAGAACUUGAUUUUCUUAUUGGGGUUGCGGGCAAUGAGCGUGAAGUUGAAUUUGGAGUUGACCCCGGUGGAGGUGAGGUUGAAGUGGGACAGUUGAAGGGGGGAGAUGCUAAAGUUGAAGCGAUGGGCACGGUAGAUAACCCAGAAGACGGCCCUGGCUACGGCGACGAGGACAAGGAUGAAGAUGAUGAAGAGGGUUGUCCAGAGGCAGCAGGAACAGCAGCAGCUGCAGUUGUGGUGACGCUUGCUGAGUGAUUGGGGACGGUAGAUAGGGCACGUGGUGUUAUUAUAGAGCUUGCCUUUGGUGGGUGGAAAUGUUGAGUUUGCAACUGCAGCGGUGGUAGUGAUGCCGUUGGCAGCAGGAUUGGCUGCCGGGUAUACUCUAUCUGCCAUCGUUUUGGUUUAACACUAUGUUGUUCCGGUCCCUCCCUCCCUCUCUCUCUCUCUCUCUCUCUCUCUCUCUCUCUCUCUCUCUCUCUCUCUCUCUCUCUCUCUCUCUCUCUCUCUCUCUCUCUCUCUCUCUCUCUUUCUAUUGGCUGUUGAACUGUAUUUGCAAUAGGAUUGCAGCUGGUGCAUUCUUUAACCUUGCUUCAGUUGAAGAAUACCGGCAACUAAAUGGGGAGAUUCCAGAUGCAAUUCCUUCUCUAGUGGAGCUCCUCAGGGAUGGGACAGAUCGUAGCAAAAAGAAUGCACUUCUCACGAUAUUCGGCCUCCUCCUAUGUCUUGAGGACCACAGGAGAGUGUUUGCUGCUGGAUUAGUCCCAUUGCUGAAGCAAGAGCAACGGCAGCAGUGGUGGUGACACAGGUGGUGGGGUGGUGGAGGGGUCACUGGGGUGGAGGUGCUUGGUAAAUCAUUCAGAGACUAUAAUACCUUUGAUAUUUGGUCGCGCAUUUCACGAGAUGAUGCUUUCUGUUAAUUUUAAUCGCUGGAUUUGACAGAAGGGUCUCGAAUAUACUAUUUUAUUAGAUCGAGAGCCAAAUCUUUAUUGUUAAUUAUUGGAGGGCUAAAACUUUACCUGUGAAUGAGUUGGAGGGCCAUUGGGAAUCCUUUCCCAAUCUAAUUCUUUAUCUGAGUGAUAAAAAUUUGUUUGAAGAGUUUUUCCUAACUUUUGAAACUUUGAUUUAGUUUCCUUUCAAUUUUAGUUACGAAAAUAACCCACAUGUGUUCGUUCUCUUGAAAAACCUUUUCUUUUUAAAAGCUCCAAGUCAAAGUAAACUAAUUCUUUCAUACGGCACUUUUUUUUUGGGGGUUAGAGAAAGAAACCAAAAAAAAAAAAUCAAUUUGAAGAAAAAGAAGACAUUGUUUGGAUAAUGAACUUAUCCCAAAUAAUAUUUCGUUUGCAUUAUAAACAUAUUUUUCAACCCAUCUUUUUAUAUUCUCAAUCACCUUUUUAUCUCACAUACAUCACAUUACAAAAAGUGUUACAGUAAUUAUUCCAAAUAAUAUUUUAAAUAAUACCCUAUCCAAACAAAUUGGUGGAGCUCUAAUUAAAGGUCUCUAUCGGAAAGGAAGACCUAAAAUAGUCCACUCAGUCCCAACUACAGCCAUAGGUUCAUUAUCAUCAUCCAAAGUACGCAGUAGUAGUAGUAUAGUAUAACUGGGGAAGGCUAUUAAGGUGUAGGGACAAAGGAAAAAAAUCUCCUGACGAGAAAGGGAAGGAUGGACAAAUAUCAGUCAUGAGUAGUAUGAACAUUUUUUUUUUUAAAUUAUACUACAUUUAUACCAAUUUUGCUAUUAAAUUUAUCAAAAUUUUGUACAUUAACUUUUUAUGCACUCACACUGUAAUGGUAGUAUUUUUUUUUUUUUUACACUAACAACUUUAAAUAUAUGCUACACAUGUACAUAAUUUGAAUUUCAAAUCUAAAUUCGUAUUAUGUAACAUGAUAUAAACCUACUAAUAUAUAAAAAAUAAUAAUUCUACACUGACAGUGUCUAAAAAAGUUUUCCAAAUUUUAUUACCUUAUUACAUUUGUAUGUGCAUCUACAAAGUUAGGCUACAUGUUGCUGUCAUUUUAUAAAUAACUAAGAAGAUAAGUCAUCGUCCUUAUUGAAAUUUUAAUUUUUUUUUUCAAAAAUUGAUGUAUAAUUUGUGAAGAAGACGUCAAAAAAUUAUUACGUGUUUCAUAAAAUUAAUUAAAAAAAAUAUGAGUAAUUUUCAAAAUAUUCACUACAUUGAUUCAUUUACUUGGUUUGGCAUAUGCCCUCUUUAUAGGUUCCAGAGAUUCACAAUGGAGUUUGGUACUGCUUUCAGGGGUCAGUCAGCAACAUGCCGAGACACAACUAUGGCACAAGAUUUUGAGUUUGGUAGCCAAAAACCAGUCCAUGAGAUUUGCAUUACAUAAGUCAGUAAUCUGUGAGAUACUGAGACAGCAUCAAAAUAAACCAAAAACUGUGUCCACAAGAUGCUUAUUAGAGAAAACUAAAUUCCAGAACAGGAUAGUCUAGUUCCAGGUUGCAUUACAUCGAAGAGUUUCGAACAGAAUUUCACGGAUUAAUAAUGACACAAUCUCAUCAGCCUCAGCAACCUGUUAGAACACUGAACAAACACCAUUAGAUACAUUGAAGUGAAAAAGAUAAAUAAAGAAAAAGAGAAGAAAAAGUCACCACAAUAAAUAGUAGAAGAACUAGAAACUGGUUUUCCUAUUAAUUUUUUUGUUCCCAAAAAAAAAAAAGACAUGCAAACAACAAUAACCGACUAAGAAGACCACAAAUUUCCUUACUAAUAUUCUCCUUUCAAGGUUAAACAUGGAUCAACAUUCAUGUGGAAGAUCUGUGCUUAGAAAUGGUGAAUACAAGACAAACACGACAUAUAAUCUACUUCCCAGUGCUGCUCUGGACAUAGUAGUAUCAUCACAACUCUACAUAAUCUUCUUCCCGUUUUGAAUAAAAUAGGGUUCUCAACGAUUAUCUCUAACGCAAAUUAGACCAGUAAAUUCCAUUUUCCUCUUCCCGGUCCAAGAACUUCCACAAGAAAAAGGCUUCAAACCUCCAAAAAUGUCUAUGGUGAACAAAUUCCUGCUAGAUGACAAUUAAAGACAAAAUUUGCCAUCCUAAACACAGGAAUUGUUCAACACAAACACGUGCAAUUUGCCGUAACACAGUGGAAAGGUGACUUUCAGGCAGCUAAUUUGUUAGUGUCACCAGAUUGACAAGCACAGUGCAGCUUAUACCCAUUAUGGCAUUACCAAUGACUUUCGCCCUGACAAAAUUACACAUAGCCAAUUACUAAAUUCUUCGAAAAUCUUUUGCAUUGCUCAGGCUUCCAAGAAAUAUAGAUAAUGAGAUAUAGCCAGAAAUUUCAAUCACGUAUUAAAGCUCACUUCUUUCUUCCUUUCUACAUGGCUCAUGAGAAUCAAAUCCCUACGCCAUCGAACUGAUCACGAAAAAGUUAAUGUAUCUUAGGCACCAAAUAUUCCCCUAAUCUCAACACACAUUUAUUUAUUUCUACAACCAAGCCCACAAAAACUUUGGUUUUAAGAGGACAGAAAGCAAACUCCUACAAAAACAGUUUCAAGAUUAUAAUUGUGUUUGAAGUUAUUGAUGACAAGAAUGAUGAAUCCAGCUACAGCUUUGCUGAAUAACGUCAUCAGAAAAACCUUUUCAAACAGGCUUGAGUAUCAUUCUUCAACACAUGUAUGAAUGCCAAACCAGUAACUUGCCAACUUGCACUCACAGCAGUUUUGUUACCAGCGAUUAGCCAGUAGGAUUUCAGACUUCAAUACAGGAUAAGAGCUACUAAAACACAAUGCAAUGAAAGUUGCUAAUAAGCAACUGUUAAGAAUUGAACUUUCUUCCAACCUCGAAAGGAAAAGACAUCAGAAACUAUAAUAGUUAACAACUGUUAUUUGCCUACAUCUCUUUCUGCCCCCAACUCAAGCAUACUUCCCAUUCAACUGAUGUUCAAACUCAAUAAAAAACCAGAUCCCAAGGACUACAGCUUAUUUUUAAAUAUGAGUAUUAUCCUCAGCUAUCUUUUUUCAGGGAAAGCUGUUUAGCCAGAUUCUUUCCCGGCUGGGGAUACAAUGUUCCUCUACAUGCCCCUUGGAAGAGAACUUUUGGUUACAAGCCUCAAUAGGCUACAACUGUUUUCCAGCUUAGCUCCACUAAAUGGAUAAUUUCCUUUUUUUUUUUUUCCAAGUCCUUUUACCCAGCAUCAACUCAAAAACGAGGCUCAUUGAAGCAAUGAAAGCUGUAACUGGCCAAAUCCUGCUGGUAUUGACCAGAACCAAUUACUAAAGCACCCCAAAUUCCAUGGUUUUUUGUUCAUGUGAGCAGUUGCACUUUAUAACCAGCUUGUCACAUAUCACAGUCUACUCACUCAUAAAAAGCAGCCACAGAACACAACUGCUCCUAAUUAAAAAAAACAAAAAGAAGACAUCCAUUUAGCUUGAUGAUUUGAUAGGGUUUUGAUUGAUGCUUUGACAUAAUUUCGUGAACUAAUAGCACAAAUGAAAUACCCUAGACAGAAACCUCAUGUAUGGCAGGAGAAAUAAGUGGCUAAAUGUGAAAAUCAUUUAUUAUCUAGUAAAAAGGCACUACAUUUGCAAUCUUUUCCAUUACAACAGAACAAUUAGAUUCAAUACUUCUGACGUACAAAAUUAUCAAAAUUUAGUCAGUGGAAAAUAAAACUAAUCAUGCCGUUACAGUUAGCGCAUCUAGAAACAACUUUGGGAGUAAGAUGUGGUAUCAAUGAACAUUCAAAGGUAGCAAAAAGCUAAUCACAGAUUCACACAAAGCAAAGGAACUAAAAAGUUCUCUCACUGAGAUGUAUGAGCUGCAACAGAGCAAAGACAUCCUGUGGCAAGUUUGUAUACAUUGUCUUUAAAGUGGUACAUAUCCCUUGCCCUCCAACCGACUGAUGAUUGCAAAACUAUGGCAUCCCUAAAUAUUGAAAUUAACCUUAUGCCUAUUAUUUUGUGGUUUAGGAACUAUUUAACUUCGUCCAUUGAAUAGAACAGGAAUGCUCUCAGUUUCAGAAAAGGUUUACCUUGAUUCAAACCUUCACAGUAGCCCUGCAUAAGUAAAUUCUAAGACCAAUAGAACUACAUAUGAUCAUCUCCUAUAAACUAAAUCAUCUUGAAUAAAAAAUCUAAAAAGUGAAAACCGUGAAAUAUGUGAUCUAACCACCACAUGUUGCACUUUAACUGAUAAUCAACAAACUUCUUGGCUGUCUCUUGACUGGGUCCCCCAUUUGCAGAAUCCUUCAUUUCAACCAAAAAGAGGACCUUGAGCGUCCAACUUAUUUUGGAUGGCCAAAAACAUGGGGAGGCAGGCACCAGUGCCUUUUGGUCCAUCCUCCUCCCCAACUCUACCACAAGACCCAACCUGAAUCUGAAAAACAGCCAGUACCCCAGGACAGAACUCUGAUGCAGAAUUCUAUACCUCAAAUUAUCAAAUAAAACCUACAACCUUAAACAGGACCUAAAGCUUCCUUGAUGUAAGUGAGAAAAAUCCACAAGUGCAAGAGAUAAUAUUUCAUGCAUUAUGUAAUCAAUAUUUUCUUUCGGGUCAAAUAUAUUUAGCAGAGAAAACUUAUUGCUUCAUCCAUCAAAUGCAUAAUCAGUUCAAUGAACAUCCAACUCCAGACCAAGUCUAUUACUAUUAAGGUGAAAAUAAAUGAAAAUCCUUAUAUGUUAAAUCACUCCAAUCCCGUGUUUCCAUCAAAUGCUAAAUCAUUCCAACCAUUAGCCAAAAGUACAUAAUAAGUUCACCAACAAACCUUUAAAAAAAUGAAAGAAAGACAAACACAUCCUAAACAACCAGUCAAACAUUUAAGCAAGCAUUAAGCCAUUUGCCAUUUGAAACACCAUACACACUGCAUGACAAACCACCCAGCUCAAAAAUAAAGAACUGGAAAAGAAAAACCACUACUCAAAGCCUCAUACAUGCUAAAACAUCUAUUAUAACCAACAGAAAAUUUAGCUGAUAGGUCAUAUUGGAAUAAGAAAUGCAAAACAAAAUUUCACAACUUCUGCGAAAAAACUACAAGCACAAUGUUGGAAAUAAUGUGUUCAACGCAUAUAAAUCUCAAUAUCCACAGACAGACUUUAAAAGAAUCCAAACACACAAAGGAGAAUUGCCAAUGCAAAUCAACAAACUGGAGCAGAACACCAACCAACAAGGUAAGGUACAAAAGAAGGAUAUAAGCUUUAUCACAAAGAACCACUUAAAUGAGCAAUGCAACACUAACAGAUACAGAAACUCACUAAGAAACUCAUAAACUUGAAUUAAACCACAUUCAAUUAAAGAAAAUGUAAAUAAUCAAUUACAAAACUAAAACAAGAAAAAUCCUUGAUUAAUAAUUCUCAAUAGCAGACCAAAACUGCCAUUAAAUUGUCUAUUAUACGAGUCAUUAGCUCAUAAAUUGCAAGCACUUCAACCAAAAAUUACAUUUCUAUACCAAAAAUUCCAUUCAGAAAUAACCUAAAACAUUUUUUUUUAAGAAAAAAAAGAAAGUUUGCAACAACAAAACAUAGAGAUUAUCAAUCCUAACGACUGUCAAUUAAAAAACUAAAGCAAACCCACUUAACAAAACCUAUUCAACAGUAACCCAAGAAAACAAAUAUUAAUUUACCUUCCCUACGAUUAAACCAAAUAAAAUUGACACCCAGAAAAAUGUCAAAACAAUCUCAAAAAAAAGGGUAAAAUCAUCCAAUAUAAAACUCAAAGAAAAAAAAUAUAAAAGAAUUACCUUUAGAUCAAGCAUUGGCAGUUUUAGGUAUAAGAGGAAUAGGCUGCUGCGCUGGGGAGCCUUGUUUUUGUUUGGCUUCGGCUUCCCGGAUCUUCUGCAUCUGGAGCAUCCGUUCCAUGACAAGCUCGUACUCGCACUUCUCAUAGGAGUGGCGUUGGUCCUCACACUUCCAAGGAAGAUAGAACUCCGCCUGCCUGCACUUGUUCAGUGGGAUCAGCAAAUGGGCACAUUGGUCUCUGUAAGGGAUUGGGACUUUGGCUUCCACCAUUUCUUCUUGGGUUGCUAUCAUCUUCUUUGAUGACCCUGGCACCUCCAUUUCUACGGUCUCUGCUGAUCGAUUGCUUGAUUUUCUAGGUAUGCUAUGGCAGUGUAAUUGGGAGGUUCGGGAGGUGUUGUGGGGAAACUCUGUGCUCCUUUGACGGGCUGCAAGCUUGGAAAGUUUAGGCUUAAUGCGGUUUGACCCCUGUAAUUAGGGGUUGCUUGCGUUUUGUCGCCCAAGAUUGAGUUUAUCUAUAGUGAAACGAGGAUUUGUUUUGGGAAGAUUAUUUGGAAAAACAUUUUUUGUAUUAUGUAGUGUAAUGUAAUACUUUGUGAUUUCUGAUGUGAUAUAUAUAUAUAUAUAUAUAUAUAUAUAUAUAUAUAAAAUAUGGGAUUGUGAGAUUUUUUUUUUUUUUUUUGCGAAUAAUGAUGCAUAAACAUAUAGUUUGUUUGGAUAUGACUAGGACUGAGCAUCAAAAUCAAAAUCGAUAAUUCGGCUGAUUGAAUUCAUUGAUUUCGGUAAUUUUUCUUGUGAGAUUCCAACCUAAUAGAAAACUUUUAGUUUCGAUUUCGCUUCAAUUCAAAAUUGGAAUUGAGUAGCGAAUACUAAAUUCAAAAAGAAUAAUGCAUUCUGUUAUAUAUUAUAAAGUGCAUCAUAACAUAAUAUAUUCUUAUGAUAACAUUUAGUUUUACAUAAAAUUGAAUGUAUAUAACAUUCUAAUAUGUAUUUUGCACAUGCUAUUUGCUUAUAUAUGGUAUUCAUGUAUAAUACAUAUAUGUCUAAAUUAUAUAUGUGUUGUUUAAUAUUUAAAUAUUUUUUCAAUUCAAAAUUAGUAAAAUCCGGCUUCAAGAAACCAGUACCAUUUUCAUAUCUAUUUCAAAAUACAUGAAUUCGAUAUCUUUCGCAUCCUUCUAAAUUUAUGAAUUACGAAUUCUGAAUUUUUGAAUUCAUUUCAAAAUUGAUUGGUAAUUUUUGGAUUUUUACACCCUUAAAUAUAACUUAGUAUUUGGGAAAUGUUGUCGAAUUUUCUAUGUUUACUUGCCUUAGGUUUGAAAAAAUAAUUUUGGGAAAAAAAUUUUAUAGUAAGAGCUUUUUAGUUUAAACAUAGAGUGCUUUCUCUCAAAAAAAAAAUAUUACUAUCCAAAAAACAAUGAUUUAUAUACUAUUAGAAAGUUUGGUAUAAUGAACUUGUAUGGAAUAAAACAAGAAAAAUGAGGUACUAGUAUUACCAUUUAACGUUGUUUUAACUACACUAUGCCUUCUAACUAGGAGGUUAUUCUACUUUGUCCAAACUUCGUGUAAUUUUUUCUUCCAACAUUUUCCUAAAAAGGGUUGCAAUGAGCGUGGUUUUGUGGAUUAUUUGAAGGUUGAGGUGGAAUAGCCGAAUAGGUGCCUUGAAACUCCAAAUUGUGAAGAAUUGUUUGCUUAUUCCUAAGGCUCAACGAAUCUUCAAAAAAAUGGAUUGUAGAUAAGCUUAUGUCUAAGCCCCUCCUGAGCAGCUCGUUUGGUAAUGACAGCCCCUUGGAAGUCGUUGUCCAGCUCCCCCAUCAGGGAUCGAGUCUCAGCGGUUAUCAUGUUCGGCGAGAAGGGGCCUCUCCUCCCGGGCCGGAAUGAGAUUAGUCGGAUCCCGUAAGAAUUGAUCCGAACACCCACUCCGUCAACAAAAAAAAAAAAAAGAUAAGCUUAUGUCUAAUGUACAUCAUAUUAUUAUUCAUGAAAAUACGCCAGCAGUUGAAAAGGAGAACCAAGAACUUGUUAUGUGUACUAUGUGGCUUCUCAUGCUGAUGAUGUUGAACAUGCUGGUUUAGAAAAUGCAUUGGUCAUACCAACAUGUUAGUUUCUCUUUUGUAAAGAUGAAGUGUUGAAUUCAGCUAUUGAAUUAUCUUUUGCAUAAUGCUAAUGAGAAAUAAAGUGGUAAUUUUGUUGAUAGAAGAAACAGGGUGGAGAAGUGGCUAAGGGAUCUCGUAGGGUUAAAAAAAAAAAAAAACUUCCUCUAUCUCCAUUACAUGAUGCUUCUUUUUUUUUUUUUGGAAUACUAGGGCCUUAAUGACCAUUGAACAAAACAUAGUUGGAAAAUAUGUUACAAAUAUAGUAAAAGCUCUAUAAAUUAAUAAACAUGGGACCAAACAAAUUCUAUUAAUUUAAGGAGGCAUUAAUUAAUUGAUAAAUUAAUAAUUUGUUAAUUUAUUGAGUAUACUUAUGGUUCAAAAAAAUUCAUUUAAUCAACUAAAGUUUUAUUCAUUUUAUUAAAAAAUAAAUUAUUCUAUUAAUAAAAGGAAUAAAAAAAUCUAAGAGAUAUAAACCAGUUCAUAUCUACUGAUUUGCAAAUAUAAUUUAAUUUUAUUAAUAUCUUUAAUGUACGUACAUAACUAAUAUCAUUUUCCUAUUAUUAAGAGGUUCAAACCAAAGGACUAUAAAUACUAAAUGAUGGAUGUCGAUUCUCUUUUUAUUAAAUACAUACAAUGAAUCAGAUUGCAAUAUUAUGUGUACAAAUGACAAGAAAUUCUUUUUCUAAUAAACAAACGCAAAGUCUUCUUAUUCCAUCUAAAAGGUAUUCAUAGGUCAACAAUAAACUCAUAUUUUUGGAAAAUAUGGUAUGCAAUAUUAAUGAAUUAUUAAUUUAUAAUAUAAAUGGGACCAAAUGGUAAUCUAAGAUUUUCAAAAAAAUUUAUUAUCUUCUUAUUUUAUUGAAACUAUUAAUUUGGAUCAUUAGCCAAAGUCGGGAACCAAAAAUUUUUAUUUAAUAGAGAUUAUUAAUUUAUAGAGGUUAUACUGUAUAAUAUUAAUACACACACACAUGGCUUGGUUGGAAAUAAUGUGCCAUGAUAAUGUUCAUAGAUUUUUUUGCAUCUUGUUUACCACAUUAGCAGCUUUUCCCUAAUGCUAGGAGUAUCAUUGGUGUUGGAGUAUUAUUUUGUUGGUAAGGGGCAAACGUGAGAUGUAUUUUGAUUUCGAUGUAUUUUGAUUUCUAUGCAUUGCAAUAUGUUACUUGUCAUGUGGAGUUUUAUUGCUGGAUUAAAUCUUUGCUUUAUUGUUUUGGUGUAUGGUGCUAAUAAACUAAAGAACGGAGAUCUCUAUGGCAUUAUUCAAGGUAGCUAACAGAUCGUCUCCAUCAUUUUUCAGGACUAAUUCUUGGCGACUUUAGUGAGAAGAUUGUUAUCUUGAUUUUGACUGUGCCCUCUAUAAUUGGAUUUAUAGUUUGCAUUGAUGACGUUGAUUUAGAGGAAAAGGCUUUUUCAACACUUGAUGCAAUAGAAAGGAUGUUGAUGAUGAAAAAGUAUAAAGAUUGAUUGAGAUUUUAUUAAUAGUUCAUGGUGUACUAGGGUUUUCCUCAAUGGAUUUAGAGUCUCUAGUUUCUAACCUCAACAACAUUACUAAAGAUUGAAGUCUUGAAGACAUUAGGCAGCUUUUGAUUAAAUCAUCAUGAUAUAAAUGACAACUAUCGUACUUAAUAGCAAAAUGCAUGUGUAGACAAUGGAAUUUUAAUUAAAUUCUAAAAAUUACCAUUGGUCUAUUAAAUAUUUUUCGUCCAAUCGGAUAUUGCCGUAUGUCAUGUACGCUUGGAAAAUUUGGUUAUUAAGCAGCCAAUUAUAUUUUGUCACGUGUCAAGGUGAGGUGUUCCAAAUCAAUUCAAAUUGCAGGGGUAUCUCCACCAAUCAAAUCAUAUCAUAUCAUGUAUUUAUUGGAUAAAUAUCUAAAUAUUUAUUUCUUAUUAAAGGGAUAAUAUUUAGAAUUGUUUAAUCCAAGUAUAUCUCUUAUAUACUGCAAUGGCCUGGCCAGUAAAAUGGCGCCACGUCAUGUGUCCCCACAAGUCUGGCCAAUCGGAAAAUUACUUAUCUCUUUAUUAAUGAAGAGAUAAUAUUUAACUGGCACAGUUCUAAUAUGACUGUACGUCUUGCUAGGUAAGUAGAGUGGUGUACAUGAUCUCAACCUCCACCUCUUGCUACAACUAUAAAUAGAGGUCUCUCAACCAAGUUAAAGACACACAGAGAUAUCAAGAAGCAUCUCAUACACUCAAGUAUUGAAGCUUCAAGCUACGAAGGUCUGGGUCUCAAAGCUCCUCAAGUCUUCCGCAUAUCAAGGCUUGAGCCUUCAAGUAUUUUCAAAUCCUUCAAAUCUUCCAUGUCAAGAUUUGAAGGAGUCGGUGGUUGAUCCAAGAACAAGCUGCGAAGCCCUUGGAUUGGUGUUCGAGGAGAAGAAUCGAAGGAAGCUCUCCAUAAGUUCGAGAAACUUCCAGAGAUUGUACCUACAUAUUUUUCUAAGUUUAUAUAGUACAUAUUUGUCGUGUAUUUCUUUUUCUUGCCGUUUUGCAGACUUGAAAUUUUUAUCGCGUACAAAUUUUUGGCACGCCCGGUGGGACCAUCUCUGCCUUCCAUCUCUUCUUCUCGAAUACUCAACUAUCAUCAAUGGCACCAAAGAGCAACAAAAUCAUGAUUGCACGUUCCAAGGCUGCUGAUGCUGAGCCUGUUCAGGAAGCUGCACACGUUGCCACCAAUACCCGCGUUAUUGGCCCCGUGACAAGGAGUAUGACGAGGGCCUCCACCCAAAGUAGCAUGGAACCCUCGGCGCCAACUCCCGUUUUCGGGCCAACAUCACAAAUGAGCUAUUCCUCCACGAUGGAGGUCCAAGACGUUUUCACCUCGAUUGAAAAGACUCUUGUCAUGCUCGAAUUUGGAUCCGAACCCAAAUUUUAUAAGCAUGACGAUGAUUCAUCAAACACUGGAUCAGCCUCUUCACAUGAAACUCUUCAUUCAAAAUUUUGUAUUGAAGAUUCUGCUGCUUCUUCUGCUGCAAUGCCUGCCAUGAUGACAAAUACUUUGAGUCUCGAAGAACAAGUUUCGAACAUGUCCAAGAUGAUGGAAACCAUGAUGAAACACAUCAAGGACCAAGAUGCUCUUAUCGCUCAACUGCUCACCCAAAAGGACCACGCUCCUGAAGGAAACCAUAUGAAUUCUAAGGAGAACCAAGAGCGUGAAAACCUCUCAUCUAAAGGUAAAGACAAGGUGAAAGAAGUACACGUGACCGCCGAGGGAACUAUCCCCGUAGAACAGUUGAAGGAACUUGUUGAAGGCGUGAUCAAGGACAAAAAUGGGGGUAGUUCAAGAUCGAGUUUUACCUACUCCAAACCUUACACUGCUAGAAUUGACAAUCUAGCAAUGCCUGCUGGAUAUCAACCGCCCAAGUUUCAACAGUUUGAUGGGAAAGGCAGUCCAAAACAACAUGUGGCCCAUUUUGUCGAAACCUGCAAUAACGCUGGAACCUAUGGUGACCUGCUAGUCAAACAGUUCGUCCGAUCCUUGAAGGGCAACGCGUUUGAUUGGUACACUGAUAUCACUCCGGGGUCCAUCGACAGUUGGGAACAGUUGGAACAAGAGUUCUUGAAUCGCUUCUACAGCACUAGAAGAACCGUCAGUAUGCUGGAGUUGACUAACACUCGUCAAUGGAAGGAUGAACCUGUGGUCAACUACAUUGAUAGGUGGAGAAGUCUGAGUCUCAACUGCAAGGACAGACUGUCUGAACCCUCUGCCAUAGAAAUGUGCAUUCGAGGAAUGCAUUGGAGCCUAAGUUACAUUUUGCAGGGUAUACGCCCAAACACAUUUGAAGAAUUAGCUACUCGUGCUCAUGACAUGGAGUUAAGCAUCACAGCCAAUGCAACUGAUGGGCUUCCUAUUCAAAUUCCGCGAGUACAGCCACCUCGGCAAAACAAUGAAAGACAAGAAAAUAGAAAAGGGGGCAAGCCUCCUUCAAGAUUCAAUAAUAAGGAGUCCAUGGCAAUAAACACAGCUCCCAUGAAAAUUGCCACCAAAGUGAGUCGAAAGAUCACUGAGAAAUUAGAUUCCUCCCAGAAUAGAUCAGUAAGAAGACCCACUUUAAAAGAGAUGCAAGAAAGGGAGUACCCUUUCCUUGACUCCGACUUACAAGGAAUGUUUGAUGAUCUUUUCAAGGAGAAGCUCCUUGAACUUCCCGACAUGAAGAGUCCGGAGGAAGCCGGUCAAGUCAAUGAUCCGAAUUAUUGCUGUUAUCACCGCUUGGUUGGUCACCCUCUCACUAAAUGCUUUGUUUUUAAGGACAAAAUUAUGGAAUUAGCCCGCCAAGGAAAAAUCCUUCUUGAGGAGGAUAAAGCGUCGGCAAACCAAACAACAAUAAUGUUUGGGUCUGUGUGUUGUCCGAUAGAAGUUUUAUCCACAACAAGCAGCGCUUUGUCCAAGGAGCUUGAAAAAUCCUCAAUUGAAAAUGUUAUUGAAGAUGACAAUGAAGGAUGGACUUUAGUCACUCGGAAGAAGACUUGCAAGCCAAGAAUAAAGAAGUACAUCUUUUCGAAAAGCAUUCAUUCGACAAAGUCAAAAGUAACGAUGAAACGAUAAAAUGCAACAAAGAAACAAAAGAGAGUGGCCAUAAAACCAAUUCCUUCAGAUUUUCAGCGCCUUCAAGAGGUUCGGCAGCCCGUGACACUGAGAGAAUUUAUACCCAAGGGGUAUUUAAGUGACGAUACCGAUGAUCUCAUUUCUUGUAAUGUCGUCAAAGCUGAAAAUCCUCAAGUCACACAAAUUGGCACUGAAUUUGAGAAAAAACUCAAAGUCGAUGAUAAACCACCGGUGGAUUGUGCAACGACCAUCAUUUUUGAUGAUGAUGAUUUAACUGUUGAGUUCAAGACCCACAAUCGACCUUUGUUUGUUAGUGCAUAUGUUCGAGAACAAAAGAUGAGUCGGGUACUCAUUGAUGGGGGAUCUGCUGUCAAUAUCAUGUCCGUACGUGCUAUGAAAGAGUUAGGAAUCUCAAGUGAUGAACUCUCCCAAAGCCGCCUCAUGAUCCAAGGAUUUAAUCAAGGGGGGCAAAGAGCAAUUGGCCUCAUAAGGCUUGAAUUGCUCAUUGGUGAGUUGUCUUCAAGUGCGUUAUUUCAUAUCAUUGAAGCCAAAACCUCUUAUAACAUGCUCUUGGGAAGACCCUGGAUUCACGAGAAUGAAAUUAUACCGUCUACUCUGCAUCAAUGUUUCAAAUAUUGUCGAGACGGUAUUGUUAAGAAAGUUACUGCCGAUGACAAACCUUUCACGGAAGCCGAAACUCACUUUGCUGAUGCCAAAUUUUAUCUUCACAAAGAAGCAAAAAGAAAGAAAUCGGUAAGGGAAGAAAGUCAAGAUUCCAAAGUACCCAUUUUGCGGUAUACUCCAAGAUCAAAGAGAGAAGAAGGUCAGUCUUCUUUUAUCAGAAAUGACACAUUAAAUGUUUCGCUCACCAAGAUAGAGCCUGUUAAAAUUGAGAAGGUGAGCUUGCAAGGGUUUGUUCGUCCCAAAGAAGAACCGGCAGUGGAACAUCACUCGCUACCAACUAAUCGGACUCAAGAAGGUUUUGAUCCAAACGCCUAUAGACUUCUUGCUAAGGCGGGUUAUAACCCAAAUGAGAAAAAUACAUUGGGCAAACUCCCUCCUGAAGUGACUGGCGAGAGGACUCACAGAUUGACACCUACGCAGAAAAUAUUGAAAGAAAGGGGCUAUAAUGUUGAAAGUUCAUCGAUGGGUCUUGGUUAUCAACCGCCCUCUCCUGUUCGUAUAAUGAUCAAAAGAGCGAGUUGUAACUAUGUGAACGAAGAAAUUGAGGUCACAAGCCGAAAGAGAUUUGUGUUCGACCGAUUGGGAAAUAAGUCAAAACGUACUUCUGUGUUUGACAGACUUGGCCCGCAGCCGAAAAAUCUGAAGUCGCCCGUCUAUGAGAGAUUAGGCAGUAAGAAACAAGAAUACCAAGUUGUCAGGGAAGAAAGUCUUACUCCAAUAAAGAAGAACAGACCAAGAAAGCGAGUCUCCAAUUUCUUCAUGCACUAUGGAGACUUAUUCAAUGUAAGAAUUGAAACCAUUUUUGAAGAACAGGGUCAAGAAAGUACGGCUUCCUGUCACCAUAUUACGAUCAGUGAUCUUGAAGAAGAAGAAGAAGAUGCAGAUGACGCUCCCGCUGAACUUGAACAAGGGGUAAAAAAUACGGUCGAUGAGCUAAAAGAGAUUAACCUUGGCACAAGCGACGAUCCUCGCCCAAUUUACAUAAGCUCUUGUAUGACUCCUGAGGAAGAAAAAGAGUAUGUUGAUUUGCUGCUCGAGUUCAAGGACGUCUUUGCCUGGAAUUACUCAGAAAUGCCUGGUUUGGAUCCAAGGGUCGCCGUUCAUAAUUUGUCCGUCAAGCGAGGAACAAAACCUGUCAAGCAAACGCAAAGGCGCUUUCGGCCCGAAUUGAUUCCUCUGAUAGAAAAUGAGAUAAAUCGAUUGAUUGAAGCCGGAUUCAUACGAGAAAUAAAAUAUCCAACAUGGAUUUCAAGCAUUGUCCCUGUGAGGAAGAAGAAUGGGCAAAUCCGAAUUUGUGUUGAUUUUCGAGACUUAAAUGAGGCUUGUCCCAAAAAUGAUUUUCCGCUCCCCAUCACGGAAUUGACGGUAGAUGCUACGACCGGGCACGAAGCGCUAUCUUUUCUCGAUGGAUCGUCUGGCUACAAUCAAAUACGUAUGGCGCCCGAGGAUGAGGAGCUCACUGCCUUCCGCACUCCCAAGGGAAUUUAUUGCUAUAAAGUGAUGCCGUUUGGCUUGAAGAACGCUGGAGCGACAUAUCAAAGGGCAAUGCAAAGAAUUUUUGAUGAUAUGCUCCAUAAGAAUGUGGAGUGCUACGUCGACGACCUUGUGGUGAAAUCAAAGAAGCGAGAGGAUCAUAUUCAAGACCUUCGAAGAGUUUUUCAACGCCUUCGAAGAUACCA
rnacentral:lncRNA from 1 species